rnacentral:lncRNA from 1 species
UGGGGGUGGACCUGACGCAGCACGCCGACGGCCGCGGGGCUCUGGAGCUUCCCGGGGACAUCUUGCUAAAAUUUGGGAUGGGCUCUAGGCCCAUAUAGCAAUUUCUGAAAACUCUCUAAGGGCCCAUGUGGGUUAUAUGGCAUUAAUGUAGUGGGAAGUUUAGUCCCACCCCGGAAGUGGAAGAGGAGUUGGACCUCCUUAUAAGGGUUCCUCUUCUACAUGCUAUUGGAGCUUGAGAAAAGAAGAGGCCCUCGCGCACUCCUCCUCCGCCGCCCGCCUCGCGGCGGGUUGCGGGAUUGAGCCGAGCCCAGCUCACACCUACGCGCACGCCCACCUGCUCACGUUCGAUCGUCUACUUCCUCUACGUCCGCGUCGCCUUCAUCAUCACCAUGUCCACCGACGCCGAACGUGCCGCCGAGAACGCCGCGGCCUCUGCUGUUUUAGCCAUGCUAGCGUUAUACGUAGAUCUUUCUGCAAUUAGCGUAGUAUGUGCUAGUUUGACUGAAUAUUAGUAUGCGUUUAUUUGUGUCAAUGUCAUGCUACUGAUUUACUCGUGGAUUAAUUUAAUCGAGAAAUUGCCUAUUUACUCAACAAUCCAAAAACCUAUUAUGUGUAGGAAUUUUUCGGCAAGUGGCUUUGCCGCUGCACUGAAACCGGAUAAGUUUACCGGUACAUACUUGCGUUGGCAGACUAAGACCACGUUAUGGCUCACGGCUAUGAACGUGUUCUGGGUCACCGGUGUCUCCACGAGAACGAUUGCUCCUGAACAGGAGAAGGCGUUCAAGGAGGCUACCGUUGUGUUUCUCGGAGCAGUUCUUACCGUCAUCGGAGAUAAACUGGUCGACGCAUAUUUACAUGUGCAUGUCGCCAAGGACUUGUGGGAGGCGCUCGAAUCUAAGUUCGGGGCAGCCGAUGCCGGGAGCGAGAUGUAUAUUAUAGAGCAGUUCCACGAUUACAAGAUGGUUGAAAACCGUCCUGUAUUAGAGCAGGCUCAUGAGAUAAUAUGCAUUGUUAAGGAGCUUGAACUUCUUAAGUGCGAGUUACCGGGCAAGUUUGUCGCGGGCUGCAUAAUCGCUAAGCUCCCUAAUUCCUGGAGGAACUUUGCCACCACUCUGAAACAUCAGAGGCGUGAAUUCUUUGUGGAGGAUGUCAUUGGCCAUCUGAGUGUUGAGCAGAAUUCAAGGGCAAAGGACUCGCACGGAAAAGGGGCGGAAGGGACUUCUGUCGCCAACAUGGUGAACCAGAAGAACUUCAACUCCCACAAGCCCAAGGGAAAGAACGGUGUCCAACAUAAUACCGACUUUAAGAAGAAGGGUAAAAGACCUUCAAGAAGAACAAGAAGGACGAGGGCUGCUUUACUUGUGGUUCGGUUGAACAUUGGGCCAACAAGUGCCCAAACAAGUAUAAGAAGUCAGGACAGGAUUCCAAGUCCGUCAACAUGAUUGUGGACAACAAUGAGAAUGGUGCACCUGGGUACGGUAAUUUAUUUACUGUUUUUUCAGUGUUUCAGCCCACCGAUUGGUGGGUGGACACAGGUGCAGGUGUACAUGUGUGUGCUGACAUGUCAUUGUUCACUUCUUACCAUGUCACAGGCCACGGGUCCAUAUUGAUGGGGAAUGGCGCGAGUGCUUCUGUUCAUGGUGUUGGCACGGUCGAUCUGAAGUUUACUUCGGGAAGGAUCGUGCAGCUGAAGAACGUGCAGCAUGUCCCCGCCAUCAAGAAGAACCUCGUUAGUGGCUCCCUUCUAUGUAGAGAAGGGUUUAAGUUGGUUUUCGAGUCUAAUAAAUUAGUUGUUACGAAAUAUGGACUCUUUGUUGGAAAAGGUUAUGAGAGCGGAGGGAUGUUCCGCCUUUCCCUCGCAGAUUUUUGUAUUAAAGUCGUGAACCAUGUUCAUUCGAAUGUUAAUGAAUCUGAAGUUUGGCAUUCACGUCUUUGUCACAUUAGUUUCGGUGUUAUGACGCGGCUAGCCAAGUUGGAUUUAAUCCCGAGUUUUACUUUAGCCAAAGGUUCUAAGUGCCUUUCAUGUGUGCAAGCUAAGCAACCUCGCAAGCCUCACAAGGCCGCGGAGGAGAGACACUUGGCACCAUUAGAACUCAUACAUUCUGAUCUUUGUGAGAUGAAUGGUGUGUUGACUAAAGGUGGAAAGAAAUACUUCAUGACAUUGAUAGAUGAUUCCACUAGAUAUUGCCAUGUGUAUCUGUUAAAUACUAAAGAUGAGGCUCUACACUACUUUAAAAUCUAUAAGGCAGAAGUUGAGAAUCAACUUGAAAAGAAAAUUAAACAAGUCCGGUCAGAUCAUGGUGGAGAGUACUUCUCGAGUGAGUUUGAUUCCUUCUGUGCGGAAAACGGCAUUAUUCAUGAGAGGACGCCUCCCUAUUCACCCUAGUCAAACGGGGUUGUCGAGUGAAAAAACCGUACUCUAACUGAUUUGGUUAAUGCCAUGUUAGAUACAUCGGGUUUAUCCAAGGCAUGGUGGGGGGAGGCUAUAUUGACGGCAUGUCAUGUCCUGAAUAAAGUUCCGACAAAGGAUAAUGAGAUCACUCCCUAUGAGAAAUGGGCAAAGAGAAGGACAACACUCUCGUACUUGCGCACUUGGGGCUGUCUGGCGAAAGUCAAUGUGCCGAUCCCCAAAAAGCGUAAGCUUGGACCCAACACUGUGGACUGCGUUAAUUUGGGCUACGCUAAGAACAACAUUAGCUAUAGAUUUCUAGUAGUGAAAUAGGAGGUACCUGACCAGAAGGUCGGUACAAUUAUGGAGUCUAAGGAUGCUACAUUCUUCGAGGAUAUUUUUCCUAUGAGAAAUACGCAAAGCACUUAUAGACAGGAAUCUGAGGAGACUCCUGAACCUGCCAUCCCUAUGGAAUAUUAUGAACAAACACAUGAUGAAAAUACUGAGGAGGAUGACGAGGAAACCCUUGGUAGGGGCAAGAGACAAAGGACUGCAAAGACCUUUGGUGAUGAUUUCUUCAUGUACCUCGUGGAUGAUACUCCCAUUUCUAUUUCAGAAGCGUAUGCCUCUCCAGAAGCUGACUACUGGAAGGAUGCGGUACAUAGCGAGAUGGAUUCCAUCAUGGCUAACGGGACAUGGGAGAUCACUGAGAGUCCCUAUGGUGGCAAACCAUAAGGAUGUAAUUGGGUGUUCAAGAAGAAGCUUAGGCCCGAUGGUACAAUUGAAAAGUACAAGGCUAGGCUUGUGGUCAUGGGCUAUGACCAGAAAGAAGAGCAAGAUUUCUUCGACACUUAUUCACCUGUGGCUAGACUGACCACCAUUCGAGUAUUACUCUCGUUGGCAGCCUCGCAUGGUCUUCUCGUCCACCAGAUGGAUGUUAAGAUGGCUUUUCUGAAUGGAGAGCUAAACGAGGAAAUCUACAUGCAACAACCAGAUGGCUUUGUGAUAGAUGGUCAGGAAAGAAAGGUGUGUAGGUUGCUGAAAUCUUUAUAUGGCCUGAAGCAAGCACCUAAGCAAUGGCAUGAUAAGUUUAAUACAACUCUGACAUCUGUUGGUUUCGUUGUUAAUGAGGCUGACAAAUGUGUAUACUAUCGCCAUGGUGGGGGCGAAGGAGUUAUGCUGUGCUUGUAUGUUGAUGACAUACUGAUAUUUGGAACCAACCUCAAAGUCAUUGAGGAGGUCAAGUCGUUUCUGUCUCAGAACUUUGAGAUGAAAGACCUUGGUGUGGCUGAUGUUAUCUUGAACAUCAAGCUACCGCGAGAUAAUGAGGGUGGGAUUACACUUCUGCAAUCCCACUAUGUUGAGAAGGUGUUGAGUCGUUUUGGAUAUUCGGAUUGCACACCAUCUCAAACACCAUAUGAUCCUAGCGUGUUGAUUCGAAAGUCCAACGGCACGGCUAUAGAUCAGUUGAGAUACUCUCAAAUCAUUGGUUCACUAAUGUACCUAGCGAGCGCAACGAGGCCCGACAUCGCGUUUGCUGUGAGCAAACUGAGCCGGUUUGUUUCCAAACCGGGUGAUGUACAUUGGCAUGCUGUUGAACGAGCUUUGCGCUAUCUGAAAGGUACUAUGAACUAUGGACUUCACUAUACCGGAGACCCGUCGGUACUUGAAGGGUAUAGUGAUGAAAAUUGGAUCUCUAAUGCUGAUGAGAUGAAGGCCACAACUGGGUAUAUGUUUACUCUUGGAGGUGGCGCUGUUUCCUGGAAGUGUUGCAAGCAAACGAUCUUAACGAGAUCGAAAAUGGAAGCAGAAUUAACUGCAUUAGACACAUCUGGUGUUGAAGCGAGAUGGCUUCAAGAUCUUUUGAUGGACUUGCUAUUGGUUGAUAAACCGGUUUCGGCUAUCCUUAUGAACUGUGACAAUCAGUCUGUCAUCACCAAGGUGAAGAGUUCAAAGGACAACAUGAAGUCCACCAAACACAUAAGAAUGAGAUUCAAAGCUGUCAGAAAAUUAAGAAACUCCGGAGUGAUAGCGUUGGACUAUGUCCAUACGGCUAAGAAUCUGGCAGAUCCCUUUACGAAAGGGCUAUCACGUGUUGUGAUAGAUAAUGCAUCGAGGGAGAUGGGUAUGAGACCCACAUGAGUUGCCAUGGUAGUAACCCAACCUAUGUGAUCGGAGACCCCGUGAAUUAGGACCUGGGAAAACAAGCCAGUGGUGAACUGAGGAGAGUAACUAUACUAACCCACUCCGUUGGAGAUGCAAUACUCUCGAUACUAUAUGGUAGGAUGACUACUGUCUUAAUGUGUUUCGAAGCUUAUAUAAGCAAGAUGCUAUCCUACAGAGCGAUCUUUGGAGGAACACACCUAUAUGAGCCCGACUGCUGGUCACAGUCUAUGAGAUUGGGGUGAUCUCUAGUAAGCUCAUGAAUAGGCCAUGAGUGUGACUUAUAUGCUCCACCCGAGGGGUCAGCCUUCGACAGCCCAGUACUAGUAAGACGUGUGGUGAAACUUCUUUACGCCAAACUGACAAUUCAAGGCAUAGUCCAUUGUUCGGUUGUGAAGGAGUGUAGCUACUUGCUCUAGGUGAAGCUCAACCUUAACAGGUCUUCACUGAAACACUGGUAUAUCGAAACAGUAAUUGGAACAGAGGACACAAUGGGCCCUUGAGAUCUGGUGUGGGAUUGCUGAAAUUUGAGAUGGGCUCUAGGCCCAUAUAGCAAUUUCUGAAAAAUGUCUAAGGGCCCAUGUGGGUUAUAUGGCACUAGGUGUAGUGGGAAGUUUAGUCCCACCCCGGAAGUGGAAGAGGAGUUGGACCUCCUUAUAAGGGAUUCUCUUCUACAUGCUAUUGGAGCUUGAGAAGAGAAGAGGCCCUCGCGCACUCCUCCUCCGCCGCCUGCCUCGCCACGCCACGCCUCGUCACGACGCGCCGCGCCGCGGGUUGCGGGAUUGAGCCGAGCCGAGCUCACACCUACGCGCUUAUUUUUGUCAGUCAGUAACGGAGAGUUCUCUGACAGCUGGGCCACGAUCUGAGACGUCGGAUCGUGGGCUGUCACGGACUCGGACGUGGGUCAAGCCCAUGUCUCUCCACGCGGCUGCGCCUAUAUAAGUGUGCGGUGUCUCCUAACCCUAGCCGCCACGAACAGAUCACAUCUACUCCACGCGCACGCCCACCGUCGUUCCCUUGCUGCUGCUGCCGCCGGUGACUCCAUCCCGUCCGCCGCGUACACGGUCGACGGGAGAGCAGGUCUCGGAAACCACGCCCUUCUGGUUCUUGUACGGGGUGAGGGGCGAAUAGGUUUUUGGGCAGCGAUUACGCGACUGCUCACUUCCGAUCGUCUACUUCCUCUAUAUCCGCGUCGCCUUCAUCAUCACCAUGUCCACCAACGCCGAACGUGCCGCCGCCGAGAAAGCUGAAGCUGACAAGAAGGCCGCCGAGGACGCCGCUGCUGCCACCAAAGCCGCGGCCUCUGCAUGGCCUACUGGAGGGUAUAACUCGUUUAUCCCGCUCCUACUGUUUUUUGUUUUAGCCAUGCUAGCAUUAUACGUAGAUCUUUCUGCAAUUAGCGUAGUAUGUGCUAGUUUGACCGAAUAUCAGUAUGCGUUUAUUUGUGUCAAUGCCAUGCUAGUGAUUUACUCAUGGAUUAAUUUAAUCGAGAAAUUUCCUAUUUACUCAACAAUCCAAAAUCCUAUUCUGUGUAGGAAUUUUUUGGCAAGUGGCUUUGUCGCUGCACUGAAACCGGAUAAGUUUACCGGUACAUACUUUAAGCGUUGGCAGACUAAGACCACGUUAUGGCUCACGGCUAUGAACGUGUUCUGGGUCACCGGUGUCUCCACGGGAAUGAUUGCUCCUGAACAGGAGAAGGCGUUCAAGGAGGCUACCGUUGUGUUUCUCGGAGUAGUUCUUAGCGUGAUCGGAGUUAAACUGGUCGACGCAUAUUUACAUGUGCAUGUCGCCAAGGACUUGUGGGAGGUGCUCGAAUCUAAGUUCGGGGCAGCCGAUGCCGGGAGCGAGAUGUAUAUUAUUAGAGCAGUUCCACGAUUACAAGAUGGUUGAAAACCGUCCUGUAUUGGAGCAGGCUCAUGAGAUAAUAUGCAUUGUUAAGGAGCUUGAACUUCUUAAGUGCGAGUUACCGGGCAAGUUUGUUGCGGGCUGCAUAAUCGCUAAGCUCCCUAAUUCCUGGAGGAACUUUGCCACCACUCUGAAACAUCAGAGGCGUGAAUUCUCUGUGGAGGAUGUCAUUGGCCAUCUGAGUGUUGAGCAGAAUUCAAGGGCAAAGGACUCGCACGGAAAAGGGGCGGAAGGGACUUCUGUCGCCAACAUGGUGAACCAGAAGAACUUCAACUCCCACAAGCCCAAGGGAAAGAACGGUGUCCAACACAAUACCGACUUUAAGAAGAAGGGUAAGAAGACCUUCAAGAAGAACAAGAAGGACGAGGGCUGCUUUACUUGUGGUUCGGUUGAACAUUGGGCCAACAAGUGCCCAAACAAGUACAAGAAGUCAGGACAGGACUCCAAGUCCGUCAACAUGAUUGUGGACAACAAUGAGAAUGGUGCACCUGGGUACGGUAAUUUAUUUACUGUUUUUUCAGUGUAAGCCCACCGAUUGGUGGGUGGACACAGGUGCAGGUGUACAUGUGUGUGCUGACAUGUCAUUGUUCACUUCUUACCAGGGCACAAGCCACGGGUCCAUAUUGAUGGGGAAUGGCGCGAGUGCUUCUAUUCAUGGUGUUGGCACGGUCGAUCUGAAGUUUACUUCGGGAAGGAUCGUGCAGCUGAAGAACGUGCAGCAUGUCCACGCCAUCAAGAAGAACCUCGUUAGUGGCUCCCUUCUAUGUAGAGAAGGGUUUAAGUUGGUUUUUGAGUCUAAUAAAUUAGUUGUUACAAAAUAUGGACUCUUUGUUGGAAAAGGUUAUGAGAGCGGAGGGAUGUUCCGCCUUUCCCUCGCAGAUUUUUGUAAUAAAGUCGUGAACCAUGUUCAUUCGAAUGUUAAUGAAUCUGAAGUUUGGCCUUCACGUCUUUGUCACAUUAGUUUUAGUGUUAUGACGCGGCUAGCCAAGUUGGAUUUAAUCCCGAGUUUUACUUUAGCCAAAGGUUCUAAGUGCCUUUCAUGUGUGCAAGCUAAGUAACCUCGCAAGCCUCACAAGGCCGCGGAGGAGAGACACUUGGCACCAUUAGAACUCAUACAUUCUGAUCUUUGUGAGAUGAAUGGUGUGUUGACUAAAGGUGGAAAGAAAUACUUCAUUAUAUUGAUAGAUGAUUCCACUAGAUAUUGCCAUGUGUAUCUGUUAAAUACUAAAGAUGAGGCUCUACACUACUUUAAAAUCUAUAAGGCAGAAGUUGAGAAUCAACUUGAAAAGAAAAUUAAACGAGUCCGGUCAGAUCGUGGUGGAGAGUACUUCUCGAGUGAGUUUGAUUCCUUCUGUGCGGAACACGGCAUUAUUCAUGAGAGGAUGCCUCCCUAUUCACCCCAGUCAAACGGGGUUGCCAAGCGGAAAAACCGUACACUAACUGAUUUGGUUAAUGCCAUGUUAGAUACAUCGGGUUUAUCCAAGGCAUGGUGGGGGGAGGCUAUAUUGAUGGCAUGUCAUGUCCUGAAUAAAGUUCCGACAAAGGAUAAUGAGAUCACUCCCUAUGAGAAAUGGGCAAAGAGAAGGACAACACUCUCGUACUUGCGCACUUGGGGCUGUCUGGCGAAAGUCAAUGUGCCGAUCCCCAAAAAGCGUAAGCUUGGACCCAAGACUGUGGACUGCGUCAAUUUGGGCUACGCUAAGAACAGCGUUGGCUAUAGAUUUCUAGUACUGAAAUCGGAGGUACCUGACCAGAAGGUCGGUACAAUUAUGGAGUCUAAGGAUGCUACAUUCUUCGAGGAUAUUUUUCCUAUGAGAGAUAUGCAAAGCACUUCUAGACAGGAAUCUGAGGAGACUCCUGAACCUGCCAUCCCUAUGGAAUAUUAUGAACAAACACAUGAUGAAAAUCCUGAGGAGGAUGACGAGGAAACCCUUGGUAGGGGCAAGAGACAAAGGACUGCAAAGACCUUUGGUGAUGAUUUCUUCGUGUACCUCGUGGAUGAUACUCCCAUUUCUAUUUCAGAAGUGUAUGCCUCUCCAGAAGCUGACUGCUGGAAGGAUGCGGUCCGUACCGAGAUGGAUUCCAUCAUGGCUAACGGGACAUGGGAGAUCACUGAGCGUCCCUAUGGUUGCAAACCAUUAGGAUGUAAGUGGGUGUUCAAGAAGAAGCUUAUGCCCGAUGGUACGAUUGAAAAGUACAAGGCUAGGCUUGUGGCCAUGUGCUAUGACCAGAAAGAAGAGCAAGAUUUCUUCGACACUUAUUCACCUCUGGCUAGACUGACCACCAUUCGAGUAUUACUCUCGUUGGCAGCCUCGCAUGGUCUUCUCGUCCACCAGAUGGAUGUUAAGACGGCUUUUCUGAAUGGAGAGCUAAACGAGGAAAUCUACAUGCAACAACCAGAUGGCUUUGUGAUAGAUGGUCAGGAAAGAAAGGUGUGUAGGUUGCUGAAAUCUUUAUAUGGCCUGAAGCAAGCACCUAAGCAAUGGCAUGAUAAGUUUAAUACAACUCUGACAUCUAUUGGUUUCGUGUUCAUGAGGCUGACAAAUGUGUAUACUAUCGCCAUGGUGGGGGCGAAGGAGUUAUACUGUGCUUGUAUGUUGAUGACAUACUGAUAUUCGGAACCAACCUCAAAGUCAUUGAGGAGGUCAAGUCGUUUCUGUCUCAGAACUUUGAGAUUAAAGACCUUGGUGUGGCUGAUGUUAUCUUGAACAUCAAGCUACCGCGAGAUAAUGAGGGUGGGAUUACACUUCUGCAAUCCCACUAUGUUGAGAAGGUGUUGAGUCGUUUUGCAUAUUCGGAUUGCACACCAUCUCAAACACCAUAUGAUCCUAGCGUGUUGAUUUGAAAGUCCAAAGGCACGGCUAUAGAUCAGUUGAGAUACUCUCAAAUCAUUGGUUCACUGAUGUACCUAGCAAGCGCAACGAGGCCCGACAUCGCGUUUGCUGUGAGCAAACUGAGCCGGUUUGUUUCCAAACCGGGUGAUGUACAUUGGCAUGCUGUUGAACGAGUUAUGCGCUAUCUGAAAGGUACUAUGAACUAUGGACUUCACUAUACCGGAGACCCGUCGGUACUUGAAGGGUAUAGUGAUGCAAAUUGGAUCUCUGAUGCUGAUGAGAUGAAGGCCACACCUGGAUAUAUGUUUACUCUUGGAGGUGGCGCUGUUUCCUGGAAGUCUUAAAAGCAAUCGAUCUUAACGAGAUCGAAAACGGAAGCAGAAUUAACGGCAUUAGACACAUCUGGUGUUGAAGCGAGAUGGCUUCGAGAUCUUUUGAUGGACUUGCUAUUGGGUUAUAAACCGGUUCCGGCUAUCCUUAUGAACUGUGACAAUCAGACUGUCAUCACCAAGGUGAAGAGUUCAAAGGACAACAUGAAGUCCACCAAACACAUAAGAAUGAGAUUAAAAGCUGUCAGAAAAUUAAGAAACUCCAGAGUGAUAGCGUUGGACUAUGUCCAUACGGCUAAGAAUCUGGCAGAUCCCUUUACGAAAGGGCUAUCACGUGUUGUGAUAGAUAAUGCAUCGAGGGAGAUGGGUAUGAGACCCACAUGAGUUGCCAUGGUAGUAACCCAACCUAUGUGAUCGGAGAUCCCGUGAAUUAGGACCUGGGAAAACAAGCCAGUGGUGAACUGAGGAGAGUAACUAUACUAACCCACUCCGUUGGAGAUGCAAUACUCUCGAUACUCUAUGGUAGGAUGGCUACUGUCUUAAUGUGUUCCGAAGCUUAUAUAAGCAAGAUGCUAUCCUACAGAGCGAUCUUUGGAGGAACACACCUAUAUGAGCCCGACUGCUGGUCACAGUCUAUGAGAUUGGGGUGAUCUCUAGUAAGCUCAUGAAUAGGCCAGGAGUGUGACUUAUAUGCUCCACCCGAGGGGUCAGCCUUCGGCAGCCCAGUACUAGUAAGACGUGUGGUGAAACUUCUUUAUGCCAAACUGACAAUUCAAGGCAUAGUCCAUUGUUCAGUUGUGAAGGAGUGUAGCUACUUGCUCUAGGUGAAGCUCAACCUUAACAGGUCUUCACUGAAACACUUGUAUAUCGAAACAGUAAUUGGAACAGAGGACACAAUGGGCCCUUGAGAUCUGGUGGGGGAUUGCUGAAAUUUGAGAUGGGCUCUAGGCCCAUAUAGCAAUUUCUGAAAAAUCUCUAAGGGCCCAUGUGGGUUAUAUGGCACUAGGUGUAGUGGGAAGUUUAGUCCCACCCCGGACGUGGAAGAGGAGUUGGACCUCCUUAUAAGGGUUUCUCUUCUACAUGCUAUUGGAGCUUGAGAAGAGAAGAGGCCCUCGCGCACUCCUCCUCCGCCGCCCGCCUCGCCACGCCAGGCCUCGUCACGACGCGCCGCGCCGCGGGUUGCGGGAUUGAGCCGAGCCGAGCUCACACCUACGUGCUUAUUUUUGUCAGUCACUAACGGAGAGUUCUCUAACAGCUGGGCCACGAUCUGAGACGUCGGAUCGUGGGCUGUCACGGACUCGGACGUGGGUCGAGCCCACGUCUCUCCACGCGGCUGCGCCUAUAUAAGUGUGCGGUGUCUCCUAACCCUAGCCGCCACGAACAGAUCACAUCUGCUCCACGCGCACGCCCACCGUCGUUCCCUUGCUGCUGCUGCCGCCGGUGACUCCAUCCCGUCCGCCGCGUACACGAUCGACGGGAGAGCAGGUCUCUGAAACCACGCCCUUCUGGUUCUUGUACGGGGUGAGGGGCGAAUAGGUUUUUGGGCAGCGAUUACGCGACUGCUCACUUCCGAUCGUCUACUUCCUCUAUGUCCGCGUCGCCUUCAUCAUCACCAUGUCCACCAACGCCGAACGUGCCGCCGCCGAGAAAGCUGAAGCUGACAAGAAGGCCGCCGAGGACGCCGCUGCUGCCACCAAAGCCACGGCCUCUGCAUGGCCUACUGGAGGGUAUAACUCGUUUAUCCCGCUCCUACUGUUUUCUGUUUUAGCCAUGCUAGCGUUAUACGUAGAACUUUCUGCAAUUAGCGUAGUAUGUGCUAGUUUGACCGAAUAUCAGUAUGCGUUUAUUUGUGUCAAUGCCAUGCUAGUGAAUUACUCAUGGAUUAAUUUAAUCGAGAAAUUGCCUAUUUACUCAACAAUCCAAAAUCCAAUUCUGUGUAGGAAUUUUUUGGCAAGUGGCUUUGUCGCUGCACUGAAAUCGGAUAAGUUUACCGGUACAUACUUUAAGCGUUGGCAGACUAAGACCACGUUAUGGCUCACGGCUAUGAACGUGUUCUGGGUCACCGGUGUCUCCACGGGAAUGAUUGCUCCUGAACAGGAGAAGGCGUUCAAGGAGGCUACCGUUGUGUUUCUCGGAGUAGUUCUUAGCGUGAUCGGAGUUAAACUGGUCGACGCAUAUUUACAUGUGCAUGUCGCCAAGGACUUGUGGGAGGUGCUCGAAUCUAAGUUCGGGGCAGCCGAUGCCGGGAGCGAGAUGUAUAUUAUUAGAGCAGUUCCACGAUUACAAGAUGGUUGAAAACCAUCCUGUAUUGGAGCAGGCUCAUGAGAUAAUAUGCAUUGUUAAGGAGCUUGAACUUCUUAAGUGCGAGUUACCGGGCAAGUUUGUUGCGGGCUGCAUAAUCGCUAAGCUCCCUAAUUCCUGGAGGAACUUUGCCACCACUCUGACACAUCGAGGCGUGAAUUCUCUGUGGAGGAUGUCAUUGGCCAUCUGAGUGUUGAGCAGAAUUCAAGGGCAAAGGACUCGCACGGAAAAGGGGCGGAUGGGACUUCUGUCGCCAACAUGGUGAACCAGAAGAACUUCAACUCCCACAAGCCCAAGGGAAAGAACGGUGUCCAACACAAUACCGACUUUAAGAAGAAGGGUAAGAAGACCUUCAAGAAGAACAAGAAGGACGAGGGCUGCUUUACUUGUGCUUCGGUUGAACAUUGGGCCAACAAGUGCCCAAACAAGUACAAGAAGUCAGGACAGGACUCCAAGUCCGUCAACAUGAUUGUGGACAACAAUGAGAAUGGUGCACCUGGGUACGGUAAUUUAUUUACUGUUUUUUCAGUGUAAGCCCACCGAUUGGUGGGUGGACACAGGUGCAGGUGUACAUGUGUGUGCUGACAUGUCAUUGUUCACUUCUUACCAAGGCACAGGCAACGGGUCCAUAUUGAUGGGGAAUGGCGCGAGUGCUUCUGUUCAUGGUGUUGGCACGGUCGAUCUGAAGUUUACUUCGGGAAGGAUCGUGCAGCUGAAGAACGUGCAGCAUGUCCCCGCCAUCAAGAAGAACCUCGUUGGUGGCUCCCUUCUAUGUAGAGAAGGGUUUAAGUUGGUUUUUGAGUCUAAUAAAUUAGUUGUUACAAAACAUGGACUCUUUGUUGGAAAAGGUUAUGAGACCGGAGGGAUGUUCCGCCUUUCCCUCGCAGAUUUUUGUAAUAAAGCCGUGAACCAUGUUCAUUCGAAUGUUAAUGAAUCUGAAGUUUGGCCUUCACGUCUUUGUCACAUUAGUUUCAGUGUUAUGACGCGGCUAGCCAAGUUGUAUUUAAUCCCGAGUUUUACUUUAGCCAAAGGUUCUAAGUGCCUUUCAUGUGUGCAAGCUAAGCAACCUCGCAAGCCUCACAAGGCCGCGGAGGAGAGACACUUGGCACCAUUAGAACUCAUACAUUCUGAUCUUUGUGAGAUGAAUGGUGUGUUGACUAAAGGUGGAAAGAAAUACUUCAUUAUAUUGAUAGAUGAUUCCACUAGAUAUUGCCAUGUGUAUCUGUUAAAUACUAAAGAUGAGGCUCUACACUACUUUAAAAUUUAUAAGGCAGAAGUUGAGAAUCAACUUGAAAAGAAAAUUAAACGAGUCCGGUGAGAUCAUGGUGGAGAGUACUUCUCGAGUGAGUUUGAUUCCUUCUUUGCGGAACACGGCAUUAUUCAUGAGAGGACGCCUCCCUAUUCACCCCAGUCAAACGGGGUUGCCGAGCGGAAAAACCGUACACUAACUGAUUUGGUUAAUGCCAUGUUAGAUACAUCGGGUUUAUCCUAGGCAUGGUGGGGGAGGCUAUAUUGAUGGCAUGUCAUGUCCUGAAUAAAGUUCCGACAAAGGAUAAUGAGAUCACUCCCUAUGAGAAAUGGGCAAAGAGAAGGACAACACUCUCGUACUUGCACACUUGGGGCUGUCUGGCGAAAGUCAAUGUGCCGAUCCCCAAAAAGCGUAAGCUUGGACCCAAGACUGUGGACUGCGUCAAUUUGGGCUACGCUAAGAACAGCGUUGGCUAUAGAUUUCUAGUACUGAAAUCUGAGGUACCUGACCAGAAGGUCGGUACAAUUAUGGAGUCUAAGGAUGCUACAUUCUUCGAGGAUAUUUUUCCUAUGAGAGAUAUGCAAAGCACUUCUAGACAGGAAUCUGAGGAGACUCCUGAACCUGCCAUCCCUAUGGAAUAUUAUGAACAAACACAUGAUGAAAAUCCUGAGGAGGAUGACGAGGAAACCCUUGGUAGGGGCAAGAGACAAAGGACUGCAAAGACCUUUGGUGAUGAUUUCUUCGUGUACCUCGUGGAUGAUACUCCCAUUUCUAUUUCAGAAGCGUAUGCCUCUCCAGAAGCUGACUACUGGAAGGAUGCGGUCCGUAGCGAGAUGGAUUCCAUCAUGGCUAAUGGGACAUGGGAGAUCACUGAGCGUCCGUAUGGUUGCAAACCAUUAGGAUGUAAGUGGGUGUUCAAGAAGAAGCUUAGGCCCGAUGGUACGAUUGAAAAGUACAAGGCUAGGCUUGUGGCCAUGGGCUAUGACCAGAAAGAAGAGCAAGAUUUCUUCGACACUUAUUCACCUGUGGCUAGACUGACCACCAUUCGAGUAUUACUCUCGUUGGCAGCCUCGCAUGGUCUUCUCGUCCACCAGAUGGAUGUUAAGACGGCUUUUCUGAAUGGAGAGCUAAACGAGGAAAUCUACAUGCAACAACCAGAUGGCUUUGUGAUAGAUGGUCAGGAAAGAAAGGUGUGUAGGUUGCUGAAAUCUUUAUAUGUCCUGAAGCAAGCACCUAAGCAAUGGCAUGAUAAGUUUAAUACAACUCUGACAUCUGUUGGUUUCGUGUUAAUGAGGCUGACAAAUGUGUAUACUAUCGCCAUGGUGGGGGCGAAGGAGUUGUACUGUGCUUGUAUGUUGAUGACAUACUGAUAUUCGGAACCAACCUCAAAGUCAUUGAGGAGGUCAAGUCGUUUCUGUCUCAGAACUUUGAGAUGAAAGACCUUGGUGUGGCUGAUGUUAUCUUGAACAUCAAGCUACUGCGAGAUAAUGAGGGUGGGAUUACACAUCUGCAAUCCCACUAUGUUGAGAAGGUGUUGAGUCGUUUUGGAUAUUCAGAUUGCACACCAUCUCAAACACCAUAUGAUCCUAGCGUGUUGAUUUGAAAGUCCAAAGGCACGGCUAUAGAUCAGUUGAGAUACUCUCAAAUCAUUGGUUCACUGAUGUACCUAGCAAGCGCAACGAGGCCCGACAUCGCGUUUGCUGUGAGCAAACUGAGCCGGUUUGUUUCCAAACCGGGUGAUGUACAUUGGCAUGCUGUUGAACGAGUUAUGCGCUAUCUGAAAGGUACUAUGAACUAUGGACUUCACUAUACCGGAGACCCGUCGGUACUUGAAGGGUAUAGUGAUGCAAAUUGGAUAUCUGAUGCUGAUGAGAUGAAGGCCACACCUGGGUAUAUGUUUACUCUUGGAGGUGGCGCUGUUUCCUGGAAGUCUUGCAAGCAAACGAUCUUAACGAGAUCGAAAACGGAAGCAGAAUUAACGGCAUUAGACACAUCUGGUGUUGAAGCGAGAUGGCUUCGAGAUCUUUUGAUGGACUUGCUAUUGGUUGAUAAACCGGUUCCGGCUAUCCUUAUGAACUGUGACAAUCAGACUGUCAUCACCAAGGUGAAGAGUUCAAAGGACAACAUGAAGUCCACCAAACACAUAAGAAUGAGAUUAAAAGCUGUCAGAAAAUUAAGAAACUCCGGAGUGAUAGCGUUGGACUAUGUCCAUACGGCUAAGAAUCUGGCAGAUCCCUUUACAAAAGGGCUAUCACGUGUUGUGAUAGAUAAUGCAUCGAGGGAGAUGGGUAUGAGACCCACAUGAGUUGCCAUGGUAGUAACCCAACCUAUGUGAUCGGAGAUCCCGUGAAUUAGGACCUGGGAAAACAAGCCAGUGGUGAACUGAGGAGAGUAACUAUACUAACCCACUCCGUUGGAGAUGCAAUACUCUCGAUACUCUAUGGUAGGAUGGCUACUGUCUUAAUGUGUUCCGAAGCUUAUAUAAGCAAGAUGCUAUCCUACAGAGCGAUCUUUGGAGGAACACACCUAUAUGAGCCCGACUGCUGGUCACAGUCUAUGAGAUUGCGGUGAUCUCUAGUAAGCUCAUGAAUAGGCCAGGAGUGUGACUUAUAUGCUCCACCCGAGGGGUCAGCCUUCGGCAGCCCAGUACUAGUAAGACGUGUGGUGAAACUUCUUUACGCCAAACUGACAAUUCAAGGCAUAGUCCAUUGUUCAGUUGUGAAGGAGUGUAGCUACUUGCUCUAGGUGAAGCUCAACCUUAACAGGUCUUCACUGAAACACUGGUAUAUCAAAACAGUAAUUGGAACAGAGGACACAAUGGGCCCUUGAGAUCUGGUGGGGGAUUACUGAAAUUUGAGAUGGGCUCUAGGCCCAUAUAGCAAUUUCUGAAAAAUCUCUAAGGGCCCAUGUGGGUUAUAUGGCACUAGGUGUAGUGGGAAGUUUAGUCCCACCCCGGAAGUGGAAGAGGAGUUGGACCUCCUUAUAAGGGUUUCUCUUCUACAUGCUAUCGGAGCUUGAGAAGAGAAGAGGCCCUCGCGCACUCCUCCUCCGCCGCCCGCCUCGCCACGCCAGGCCUCGUCACGACGCGCCGCGCCGCGGGUUGCGGGAUUGAGCCGAGCCGAGCUCACACAUACGCACUUAUUUUUGUCAGUCACUAACGGAGAGUUCUCUGACAGCUGGGCCACGAUCUGAGACGUCGGAUCGUGGGCUGUCACGGACUCGGAUGUGGGUCGAGCCCACGUCUCUCCACGCGGCUGCGCCUAUAUAAGUGUGCGGUGUCUCCUAACCCUAGCCGCCACGAACAGAUCACAUCUGCUCCACGCGCACGCCCACCGUCGUUCCCUUGCUGCUGCUGCCGCCGGUGACUCCAUCCCGUCCGCCGCGUACACGGUCGACGGGAGAGCAGGUCUCUGAAACCACGCCCUUCUGGUUCUUGUACGGGGUGAGGGGCGAAUAGGUUUUUGCGCAGUGAUUACGCGAUUGCUCACUUCCGAUCGUCUACUUCCUCUAUGUCUGCGUCGCCUUCAUCAUCACCAUGUCCACCAACGCCAAACGUGCCGCCGCCGAGAAAGUUGAAGCUGACAAGAAGGCCGCCGAGGACGCCGCUGCUGCCACCAAAGCCGCGGCCUCUGCAUGGCCUACUGGAGGGUAUAACUCGUUUAUCCCACUCCUACUGUUUUCUGUUUUAGCCAUGCUAGCGUUAUACGUAGAUCUUUCUGCAAUUAGCGUAGUAUGUGCUAGUUUGACCGAAUAUCAGUAUGCGUUUAUUUGUGUCAAUGCCAUGCUAGUGAUUUACUCGUGGAUUAAUUUAAUCGAGAAAUUGCCUAUUUACUCAACAAUCCAAAAACCUAUUAUGUGUAGGAAUUUUUUGGCAAGUGGCUUUGCCGCUGCACUGAAACCGGAUAAGUUUACCCGUACAUACUUUAAGCGUUGGCAGACUAAGACCACGUUAUGGCUCACGGCUAUGAACGUGUUCUGGGUCACCGGUGUCUCCACGGGAACGAUUGCUCCUGAACAAGAGAAGGCGUUCAAGGAGGCUACCGUUGUGUUUCUCGGAGCAGUUCUUAGCGUGAUCGGAGAUAAACUGGUCGACGCAUAUUUACAUGUGCAUGUCGCCAAGGACUUGUGGGAGGCGCUCGAAUCUAAGUUUGGGGCAGCCGAUGCCGGGAGCGAGAUGUAUAUUAUUAGAGCAGUUCCACGAUUACAAGAUGGUUGAAACCGUCCUGCAUUGGAGCAGGCUCAUGAGAUAAUAUGCAUUGUUAAGGAGCUUGAACUUCUUAAGUGCGAGUUACCGGGCAAGUUUGUUGCGGGCUGCAUAAUCGCUAAGCUCCCUAAUUCCUGGAGGAACUUUGCCACCACUCUGAAACAUCAGAGGCGUGAAUUCUCUGGGGAGGAUGUCAUUGGCCAUCUGAGUGUUGAGCAGAAUUCAAGGGAAAAGGACUCGCACGGAAAAGGGGCAGAAGGGACUUCUGUCGCCAACAUGGUGAACCAGAAGAACUUCAACUCCCACAAGCCCAAGGGAAAGAAUGGUGUCCAACACAAUACCGACUUUAAGAGGAAGGGUAAGAAGACCUUCAAGAAGAACAAGAAGGACGAGGGCUGCUUUACUUGUGGUUCGGUUGAACAUUGGGCCAACAAGUGCCCAAACAAGUACAAGAAGUCAGGACAGGACUCCAAGUCCGUCAACAUGAUUGUGGACAACAAUGAGAAUGGUGCACCUGGGUACGGUAAUUUAUUUACUGUUUUUUCAGUGUUUCAGCCCACCAAUUGGUGGGUGGACACAGGUGCAGGUGUACAUGUGUGUCCUGACAUGUCAUUGUUCACUUCUUACCAGGUCAUAGGCCACGGGUCCGUAUUGAUGGGGAAUGGCGCGAGUGCUUCUGUUCAUGGUGUUGGCACGGUCGAUCUGAAGUUUACUUCGGGAAGGAUCGUGCAGCUGAAGAACGUGCAGCAUGUCCCCGCCAUCAAGAACCUCGUUAGUGGCUCCCUUCUAUGUAGAGAAGGGUUUAAGUUGGUUUUCGAGUCUAAUAAAUUAGUUGUUACGACAUAUGGACUCUUUGUUGGAAAAGGUUAUGAGAGCGGAUGGAUGUUCCGCCUUUCCCUCGCAGAUUUUUGUCAUAAAGUCGUGAACCAUGUUCAUUCGAAUGUUAAUGAAUCUGAAGUUUGGCAUUCACGUCUUUGUCACAUUAGUUUCGGUGUUAUGACACGGCUAGUCAAGUUGGAUUUAAUCCCAAGUUUUACUUUAGCCAAAGGUUCUAAGUGCCUUUCAUGUGUGCAAGCUAAGCAACCUCGCAAGCCUCACAAGGCCAUGGAGGAGAGACACUUGGCACCAUUAGAACUCAUACAUUCUGAUCUUUGUGAGAUGAAUGGUGUGUUGACUAAAGGUGGAAAGAAAUACUUCAUGACAUUUAUAGAUGAUCCACUAGAUAUUGCCAUGUGUAUCUGUUAAAUACUAAAGAUGAGGCUCUACACUACUUUAAAAUCCAUAAGGCAGAAGUUGAGAAUCAACUUGAAAAGAAAAUUAAACGAGUCCGGUCAGAUCGUGGUGGAGAGUAAUUCUCGACUGAGUUUGAUUCCUUCUGUGUGGAACACGGCAUUAUUCAUGAGAGGACGCCUCCCUAUUAACCCCAGUCAAACAGGGUUGCCGAGCAGAAAAGCCGUACUCUAACUGUUUUGGUUAAUGCCAUGUUAGAUACAUCGGGUUUAUCCAAGGCAUGGUGGGGGGAGGCUAUAUUGACGGCAUGUCAUGUCCUGAAUAACGUUCCGACAAAGGAUAAUGAGAUCACUCCCUAUGAGAAAUGGGCAAAGAGAAGGACAACACUCUCGUACUUGCGCACUUGGGGCUGUCUGGCGAAAGUCAAUGUGCCGAUCCCCAAAAAGCGUAAGCUUGGACCCAAGACUGUGGACUACGUUAAUUUGGGCUACGCUAAGAACAGCAUUGUCUAUAGAUUUCUAGUAGUGAAAUCUGAGGUACCUGACCAGAAGGUCGGUACAAUUAUGGAGUCUAAGGAUGCUACAUUCUUCGAGGAUAUUUUUCCUAUGAGAGAUAUGCAAAGCACUUCUAGACAGGAAUCUGAGGAGACUCCUGAACCUGCCAUCCCUAUGGAAUAUUAUGAACAAACACAUGAUAAAAAUCCCGAGGAGGAUGACGAGGAAACCCUUGGUAGGGGCAAGAGACAAAGGACUGCAAAGACCUUUGGUGAUGAUUUCUUUGUGUACCUCGUGGAUGAUACUCCCAUUUCUAUUUCAGAAGCGUAUGCCUCUCCAGAAGCUGACUACUGGAAGGAUGCGGUCCGUAGCGAGAUGGAUUCCAUCAUGGCUAACGAGACAUGGGAGAUCACUGAGCGUCCCUAUGGUUGCAAACCAUUAGGAUAUAAGUGGGUGUUCAAGAAGAAGCUUAGGCCCGAUGGUACGAUUGAAAAGUACAAGGCUAUGCUUGUGGCCAUGGGCUAUGACCAGAAAGAAGAGCAAGAUUUCUUCGACACUUAUUCACCUGUGGCUAGACUGACCACCAUUCGAGUAUUACUCUCAUUGGCAGCCUCGCAUGGUCUUCUCGUCCACCAGAUGGAUGUUAAGACGGCUUUUCUGAAUGGAGAGCUAAACGAGGAAAUCUACAUGCAACAACCAGAUGGCUUUGUGAUAGAUGGUCAGGAAAGAAAGGUGUGUAGGUUGCUGAAAUCUUUAUAUGGCCUGAAGCAAGCACCUAAGCAAUGGCAUGAUAAGUUUAAUACAACUCUGACAUCUGUUGGUUUCAUGUUAAUGAGGCUGACAAAUGUGUAUACUAUCGCCAUGGUGGGGGCGAAGGAGUUAUACUGUGCUCGUAUGUUGAUGACAUACUGAUAUUCCGAACCAACCUCAAAGUCAUUGAGGAGGUCAAGUCGUUUCUGUCUCAGAACUUUGAGAUGAAAGACCUUGGUGUGGCUGAUGUUAUCUUGAACAUCAAGCUACUGCGAGAUAAUGAGGGUGGGAUUAUACUUCUGCAAUCCCACUAUGUUGAGAAGGUGUUGAGUCGUUUUGGAUAUUCGGAUUGCACACCAUCUCAAACACCAUAUGAUCCUAGCGUGUUGAUUCGAAAGUCCAAAGGCACGGCUAUAGAUCAGUUGAGAUACUCUCAAAUCAUUGGUUCACUGAUGUACCAAGCGAGCGCAACGAGGCCCGACAUCGCGUUUGCUGUGAGCAAACUGAGCCGGUUUAUUUCCAAACCGGGUGAUGUACAUUGGCAUGCUGUUGAACGAGUUAUGCGCUAUCUGAAAGGUUCUAUGAACUAUGGACUUCACUAUACCGGAGACCCGUCGGUACUUGAAGGGUAUAGUGAUGCAAAUUGGAUCUCUGAUGCUGAUGAGAUGAAGGCCACAACUGGGUAUAUGUUUACUCUUGGAGGUGGCGCUGUUUCCUGGAAGUCUUGCAAGCAAACGAUCUUAACGAGAUCGAAAACGGAAGCAGAAUUAACGGCAUUAGACACAUCUGGUGUUGAAGCGAGAUGGCUUCGAGAUCUUUUGAUGGACUUGCUAUUGGUUGAUAAACCAGUUCCGGCUAUCCUUAUGAACUGUGACAAUCGGACUGUCAUCACCAAGGUGAAGAGUUCAAAGGACAACAUGAAGUCCACCAAACACAUAAGAAUGAGAUUAAAAGCUGUCAGAAAAUUAAGAAACUCCGGAGUGAUAGCGCUGGACUAUGUCCAUACGGCUAAGAAUCUGGCAGAUCCCUUUACGAAAGGGCUAUCACGUGUUGUGAUAGAUAAUGCAUCGAGGGAGAUGGGUAUGAGACCCACAUGAGUUGCCAUGGUAGUAACCCAACCUAUGUGAUCGGAGAUCCCGUGAAUUAGGACCUGGGAAAACAAGCCAGUGGUGAACUGAGGAGAGUAACUAUACUAACCCACUCCGUUGGAGAUGCAAUACUCUCGAUACUCUAUGGUAGGAUGGCUACUGUCUUAAUGUGUUCCGAAGCUUAUAUAAGCAAGAUGCUAUCCUACAGAGCGAUCUUUGGAGGAACACACCUAUAUGAGCCCGACUGCUGGUCACAGUCUAUGAGAUUGGGGUGAUCUCUAGUAAGCUCAUGAAUAGGCCAAGAGUGUGACUUAUAUGCUCCACCCGAGGGGUCAGCCUUCGGCAGCCCAGUACUAGUAAGACGUGUGGUGAAACUUCUUUACGCCAAACUGACAAUUCAAGGCAUAGUCCAUUGUUCAGUUGUGAAGGAGUGUAGCUACUUGCUCUAGGUGAAGCUCAACCUUAACAGGUCUUCACUGAAACACUGGUAUGUCGAAACAGUAAUUGGAACAGAGGACACAAUGGGCCCUUGAGAUCUGGUGGGGGAUUGCUGAAAUUUGAGAUGGGCUCUAGGCCCAUAUAGCAAUUUCUGAAAAAUCUCUAAGGGCCCAUGUGGGUUAUAUGGCACUAGGUGUAGUGGGAAGUUUAGUCCCACCCUGGAAGUGGAAGAGGAGUUGGACCUCCUUAUAAGGGUUUCUCUUCUACAUGCUAUUGGAGCUUGAGAAGAGAAGAGGCCCUUGCGCACUCCUCCUCCGCCGCCCGCCUCGCCACGCCAGGCCUCGUCACGACACGCCGCGCCGCGGGUUGCGGGAUUGAGCCGAGCCGAGCUCACACCUACGCGCUUAUUUUUGUCAGUCACUAACGGAGAGUUCUCUGACAGCUGGGCCACGAUCAGAGACGUCGGAUCGUGGGCUGUCACGGACUCGGACGUGGGUCGAGCCCACGUCUCUCCACGCGGCUGCGCCUAUAUAAGUGUGCAGUGUCUCCUAACCCUAGCCGCCACGAACAGAUCACAUCUGCUCCACGCGCACGCCCACCGUCGUUCCCUUGCUGCUGCUGCCGCCGGUGACUCCAUCCCGUCCGCCGCGUACACGGUCGACGGGAGAGCAGGUCUCCGAAAUCACGCCCUGCUGGUUCCUGUACGGGGUGAGGGGCGAAUAGGUUUUUGGGCAGCGAUUACGCGACUGCUCACUUCCGAUCGUCUACUUCCUCUACGUCCGCGUCGCCUUCAUCAUCACCAUGUCCACCAACGCCGAACGUGCCGCCGCCGAGAAAGCUGAAGCUGACAAGAAGGCCGCCGAGGACGCUGCUGCUGCCACCAAAGCCGCGGCCUCUGCAUGGCCUACUGGAGGGUAUAACUCGUUUAUCCCGCUCCUACUGUUUUCUGUUUUAGCCAUGCUAGCGUUAUACGUAGAUAUUUCUGCAAUUAGUGUAGUAUGUGCUAGUUUGACUGAAUAUCAGUAUGCGUUUAUUUGUGUCAAUGCCAUGCUAGUGAUUUACUCGUGGAUUAAUUUAAUCGAGAAAUUGCCUAUUUACUCAACACCUCUCCCAGGCCGAGAGCUCCCUCGCAGUGCUCAGCCUCGGCCAGAGCAGCCUCCGUGACGUCCCGCACGGUGCGACGGGGUUCGCCGGCCGGACAUCGCUCUCCCUCAACCAAGUCGACGUCACCAACGAUGGUCUCCGGGACGUGGUGUCCGGGUGCCGGCUGCUCGAGUUUCUGAGCCUGAAGAGCUGCCACCUCCUCGUGUACGUGAGGGUCGCCGGCGAGAGGCUGCGGGGCCUGGAGAUCGUGCGCUGCUUGGCAAUGCGCCACCUGCAGCUGGGCGCGCCCGUGCUAGAGUCCGUCGCCUACCACGACGACGUCCUCAUCUGGAGCAUAGUUUUCACUUUCGAAACCAAAUUUUUUCGCUCACCCUCGAAAGCACCGAAAUUUUGGAAAUUUCGUAAAUUUCGAAAACCAUUUCAAGCAAAUUAACGAAAUUUUUAAUUAAAUUUUAAUAAAUUCGAACACAAAGUAUUGAAUAAGUAACUUUUUAGCACGAAUUUUUCACUAGAACUCGUCUAUCCGAAUGGUGCGAUCACUACUUCAGUCUUUGUAGAUCCAGGUUCGAAUCCCAGUGAUAUAAAUAUUGGCAUUGACACAAAUAAACGCAUACUGAUAUUCAGUCAAACUAGCACAUACAAAAUUGCCUAUUUACUCAACACCUCUUCUAGGCCGAGAGCUCCCUCGCAGUGCUCAGCCUCGGCCAGAGCAGCCUCCGUGACGUCCCGCACGGUGUGGCGGGGUUUGCCGGCCUGACAUCGCUCUCCCUCAACCAAGUCGACGUCACCGACGAUGGUCUCCGGGACGUGGUGUCCGGGUGCCGGCUGCUCGAGUUUCUGAGCCUGAAGAGCUGCCACCUCCUCGUGUACGUGAGGGUCGCCGGCGAGAGGCUGCGGGGCCUGGAGAUCGUGCGCUGCUUGGCAAUGCGCCACCUGCAGUUGGGCGCGCCUGUGCUAGAGUCCGUCGCCUACCACGGCGACGUCCUCAUCUGGAGCAUAGUUUUCACUUUCGAAACCAAAUUUUUUUCGCUCACCCUCGAAAGCACCGAAAUUUCGGAAAUUUCGUAAAUUUCGAAAACCAUUUCGAGCAAAUUAACGAAAUUUUUAAUUAAAUUUGAAUAAAUUCGAACACAAAGUAUUGAAUAAGUAACUUUUUAGCACGAAUUUUUCACUAGAACUCGUCUAUCCGAAUGGUGCGAUCACUACUUCAGUCUUUGUAGAUCCAGGUUCGAAUCCCAGUGAUAUAAAUAUUAGCAUUGACACAAAUAAACGCAUACUGAUAUUCAGUCAAACUAGCACAUACGAAAUUGCCUAUUUACUCAACACCUCUUCUAGGCCAAGAGCUCCCUCGCAGUGCUUAGCCUCGGCCAGAGCAGCCUCCGUGACGUCCCGCACGGUGCGGCGGGGUUCGCCGGCCUGACAUCGCUCUCCCUCAACCAAGUCGACGUCACCGACGAUGGUCUCCGGGACGUGGUGUCCGGGUGCCGGCUGCUCGAGUUUCUGAGCCUGAAGAGCUGCCACCUCCUCGUGUACGUGAGGGUCGCCGGCGAGAGGCUGCGGGGCCUGGAGAUCGUGCGCUGCCUGGCAAUGCGCCACCUGCAGCUGGGCGCGCCCGUGCUAGAGUCCGUCGCCUACCACGGCGACGUCCUCAUCUGGAGCAUAGUUUUCACUUUCGAAACCAAAUUUUUUCGCUCACCCUCGAAAGCACCGAAAUUUCGGAAAUUUCGUAAAUUUCGAAAACCAUUUCGAGCAAAUUAACGAAAUUUUUAAUUAAAUUUGAAUAAAUUCGAACACAAAGUAUUGAAUAAGUAACUUUUUAGCACGAAUUUUUCACUAGAACUCGUCUAUCCGAAUGGUGCGAUCACUACUUCAGUCUUUGUAGAUCCAGGUUCGAAUCCCAGUGACAUAAAUAUUUUGUCAAAUUUUCGUAUAGCAGGAAUAGUAAAGUAGUAAAAAAAUGUGUGCCCCUUGGAUUCGAACCGAGGCCGUAAAGUGUGAAAUAACACCAGCCUACCACUCUGCUAAGAGUAUGAAUACAAUUAUGUUAGAUUCAACUCUCUCUUAUACGUUUAAUUUUAAAAUACCGAAAUAAUUUAAACGAAACGUAAAUGUUUCGAGGACCCUCGAAAUGAGCGAAAUUUCGGAAAUUUCGUCGAAAGUGAUUCUGGAGAGAGGAAGAGCCCUCCGGCUUGGAGUUCGUUGACCUAGGCGGCACUGAGACGCGGUCCGAUGCCAGGCCGGAGCUAAAGGACGCGUACCUGUCCCACAUUGGCUACGGCGAAUACGACGAAGAAAUUCACGAGUUUGCCUACUCAGGCUUCAUGGAACAGGUCGCGCAUGCCAAGAUUUUGACACUUUGUUCCGUGGGCUUUCUGGUACGGCAUUCAUACUUGUUCUUGCGGUCCUGCUUAUAGGAAACCAAUUAGGCGAUUAACUAAGUCUUCUGGGCGGUGUGGAUACCCCGAACCUAGAAGAAUUGCAGCUGCUCUUGGACUCCAUGGGCGAUGACGAUGUUACUCGCUUCUCCGGAUUCUUCGAGCUCGUCGCGGCGCCGCUCCUCGAGCGCCUCUUUAUCCGGGUAAGCUUCCUGAUACACAAUCCAUUCGAACCUGAAUUUCCAUGGCGUGCGAGGCCGCCUCUAACAAGCUGGAACUUGCAGCUCCCAGACGCGUGCGGCGGCACGGCGGCGACCGGCGAGGACGCGGAUAUCCUUCUCGACUACGAGAUCGCUCUCGACCACCUGACGUUCCUCAAGGUGGUGAACUUCCGAGGGACGAGGCGCGAGCUGCGGCUGCUAAGGUUCGUCCUGCGCAGGGCUCCUGUCCUCGAGCAGCUGGUGCUCGUCACCCCGGAAGACGUGGGAACUCCGGGAGACCAUGAACACCAGGACAGCGUCCGCCUGCUCCUUAAGGUCGUCCAAGAGCAUGUGUCAGAGAUCAGCAAGGCGUGGCUCUGGCAGGAGCCCCGCGUCACCGUGUGCCGGCCGAGGGAGGACGACAGCCGAAGUCCUGCGCACACCAAGUACUACCACCAUGACAAGGCGUAGUGCAACUAGAGCUAAUUAAGAGUUGAAAACAAGGCCAAACGUAUUGAGAGCGGAUUAUCUACCAUGCACGGAACCACCAUGCACGGGCGCCAUGGUCAGGUUGUGUGUCAGUGUAAAUAGUACCAUGCACGGGCGCCAUGAUCAGGUUGUGUGUCAGUGUAAAUAGUACCAGGUCAACCGCAUGCCCCACCUCUCUCUUUAUAACUUUAUAUCAGAAAUAUCUUUCCUCUUAUUUCUUUCUAUGUAAAUAAUUUAGAUGCCUGAUAUCUUGUGAAACAAAAGUGUGAUUUACAUUCUAUUUGGACAAAUAUGUUUAUUCCGACGAGAUAUUCAAAACAAGACCAAUAUUGAAUAUGUUAUUAAAACUGUUUUUUUACAAAUAUAUUCAAGAGUGGUCUUCUUUUAAAGUCCUAAUCCGAAGGAACGCAAAUAUAGAAACAAAUUGUAAAUCAAAAUUUUGAUUCAAAAGAUAAAAUGGAUUCUAACAUUAAAAUCAUAUGAAAAUGUAUGAGUUGGUGAGAGGAGAGAGGUCAUAUGAAAAGGGGAGGUUACACUAUGGGCAAAAGUGACUAGUUGAUGUGACGCAUUUAACAUACAUGAACACGAAUCUCCAAUAUAGAUGAUCGACGCUCAAUACAUGCAUGGAAUAUCCCAUGCAUGGUAGAUAUGAUUUUCUCCAAAGGUAUCCCUAUGGCAACGCUAUGCCUAGCUGGGUGCAGGCAAUUGUUGGGUCUGGGCAUGACAUGCAUGGAUAAUGGAUGGGUCACACGUACAUCACAUUAACAGUUCGGCUUUUUAGGUAUCAUGGAUAUGAGUACGUACAUGAAAAAUAAAAGCACACACGUUUGUAUAAGUCUUUAGUGAUGGUAUAGACAUAAAAAAACGAAGAAAAAUGUAUGUGUGCCACAUUGGUAUUGCCUUUUAAGGAGAAGAAAAAUUUGCAAACAAUUUUACACUCAAAUUGCACUUUUUGUAAUACACAACGAAUAAACAUAUACUAGUGCAAUUUUCACAACCUAGUAUAAUUUACACACAUAUUGUAGUAUUUGAAUGUAUACCAGCCCUUUAUGAAGAAAGAAAAUAUAAAAAUAAAAACAAAAACAAAAUAAUAAAAUUUCUAGGUAAGAAUGAAACCCUUUAAGAAGAAAGGAAAUAAAAAACAACAAAAUAACGAAGUUUUCUAGGGAAGAAUAAACCAUUAAGAAGAAAGAAAAAAACAAAAACAAAAUCAUUAAUUUUUUAAUCGAACAAUGGAACCAUUUAAGAAGAAAGGAAAUAAAAAGUAAAAUAAAAUAAAAAUAAUGAAGUUUUCUAGGAAAAAUUGAAACCUUUUAAGAAGAAAGAAAAAAUUGCAUACAGGUUUGCCCUAUAAUUGCACAUUUUGUAAUAUGCAAAAAAAAGCAUAUAAUGUACAACUUUUGCCCUCUACUAUAAUUUACAAAACAAUGGUAUAUCGUACUUGCGUGUAUACUUACUUACAAACAUAGAAAAAAACAUAUUCUGAGAAGGAAUGAAGUAUAGUGGCAUUGGCACUACCCUUUAAGAAAAAAUAAAGUGAAAAAAGGAAAUAAUAAUAAAAUUACACAUUAAUUGCACUUUUCUAUUAUAUGUUGGAAUAAACAAAUAAUAGUGAAAUUUACAUAAGAAGGAAGCUUUUAAGCAAGGAAUGAAUUAGUGGCAUUGGUAUUAACCUUAAAAAGAAAUGAAAUAAAAACUAAAAAUUAAUAGAAAAUAAAGUUUUUCUAGGAGAAAAUGAAUAAGUGACAUUGGUAUUACUCUUAAGAAAAAAGGAAAUUAAAAGAACUUGCACACAACUUUGAGUGAAAUUGCACUUUUUUGCAAUAUGCAACGAAUAUAGGUAAAUAAUGCAACUUCCACAAUAUAGUAUAAUUUGCACACAUAUUAUAUAGUACUUGCGUGCGUACAUACACAAAAAAUAUUAAUGGAUUUUUUUAAGUAAUGAAUUAGCAAAAAUUUAGCACAAAAAUAGCAUUGGUAUUACCCUUAAAAAAGGAAGAAAAUACUAAAAUUUCUAGACAAUUAGCACAAAAAAUGCACUUCUCAUAAUAUAUAGAAUAAACAUAUAAGAUUGAUGUUUCCGUACUCUAAUGUAAUUACAUGUAGCACUUGCAUGUAUACAUUUACACACACUCACUGAAAAUAAACGUAAAGAAAUAAAAAACUCAACAGAAAAAUAAAAAAUAGAAACCAAAAGCAAACAUGUGCAGAAAAUAAAAGCAAACACAAGGAGGAAAAAGCAUACACACACUAAAAUUGGGAUGCAUUUCAUCCAUGCAUGUGCGUGCAAGAGCCACGAAGUGGAGACAUGCAUGCAUGCAUGAAGGCGCAUCGUGCACUCAGCAAGGAUAGGCAAAAAAAUCGAUUGAACUGGUAAGAGUCAAUCGAUCUCCUACACAUGUAUCACAAAGCAUUUUGAAUCACGGUCGCAAAUUUGACUGACUGAAAAUAACAAUUCAGUCGCCUGACAUAUAGCUAACGUGGCUAAUUAAUUAGGUCCAACACCCCCCUCGUUGUAGAAGCCCCGUUGCAACAAUUAAUAAGCACAUCUCGAACGGGCACCAAUACUUUCACAGACACGUCCGAGCAAAUAGAGAGACGGCCAUCAAACACUAUGCGCCAAAUGUUGCCGACUUCAUUCCACAUGUAUAUUUAGAUUAAUAGCGAUUUUUAGCAUACGUAAAAAGUGCAAACAUAUGUAAUCACAACCAGAAAAGCGUCGGAUGUUUAUAUAAUUUUUUUACAUGCGGUCAAUCUUAAAAAUUGCCAGUUCGGUUGUCUGUGCAAAAUCCUUAUUGUUUUUGCCUUUCAGACCAGUUGUCUAUGCCAAGUUCUUCACUAUGCGGCCGACUCUUUCAAAUUGGGCGCCAGACGCUUCAACAUCCCGGCACACAGUAGGCUUGCACGAUCUUUGUUCCAUCGGAUUCCAAGUACAGACAUCUUCAUGGUCAAUAUUUUGGUGCCCCUCAAAAGUGGCUGUGAGCUCAACAUUUUUCUCUUGAAGCUUGACCAUCUUCUCUUGCGCUAUGAUGAACUUGUCAAACCUCUCGGCCUUCUUUUCCUCCUUCACAUCAUUGCACUUGAUGCAUGUCUCCUUCUUCUUCGCCAUGAUAAUCACAAACCUCUCUCUCGUCUUGGUUGCCGCCCUCCUCGGUUCCUAGCCAUCCUUUUUGGUUGGAGCAAGGCCUUCUUUUUUUUUGGAUCACCAUCUUCGCCUACAUCGGUCAUGAUGAUAGUCUUGAUGAAACUGAAAACGACAUUGAACCGCUUGGGGUUGCGCAUUGAACUUCAACCAACAAUGCAUGAAGAGGAUGCACUACAAGGUCGGGGGCACUAAUGAAAGCCAGAUGCACAUUGUUGCAAGACCAGUCAAGGUUGUCACAUGUCUGACGUGCGAUGCUGCAAGGACGACCUCCCACUUCUACAAGUUCUAUGUGUGAUAAUGCAAGGUCACGCGUCUAUGUUAAAAGAGGGACACACAUCACUGCAAGACUGGGCGGGGAUCUGCAUACCGGACAUGGCGUGCAACAUUGCAAGGAUGGUCCUUAGUAGCUACGAAUUAGACGCAUGAUGUUGUAGUGUCAGGAGGGAGGGGGUGCUCAAAACAUGCCACCAUAAAUUUGUGCCGACCCUAAUGCAUGCCAUAUGUGCGGCACCACAAGGCCAAUAACUAGAUGUUGCAAGCCAGUCGACCGUUGUUGCAAGCAAAAAGCAUGUUGCUGCCAAAGGCAACUAGAACUGUUCUUUCACUAAUGCAAGCCGGACCAAUGUGCUACAAAAGCUUGCCGUCAUUGCUGUAAGGAGCAUAAUUUCUCGCACAAAUCAUGUAGGGAGGCAUCCUAGUAGGUAUGGAAUUUUUAUGGCAACAUGUCGAUAUGUUGCGCAACGGCGAACAGAGGAAAGCUGCUGGGAUCCGAUGGUGAAGAUUGUUGUCAUUCAACGGUUAGUGAGCCGGCCAAUCUGUGCCUAGGGUUAACGGGUUAACACCUAACAGACGCCUAAAUAUUUUGUGAAUUGAUGAAACGUCUUUUAGGGUAUUGUGAACAUUUUUAUUUGAUAUCCGUGAAACUAUCUCACAAAACACUUGAACAAAUGGAAAACAUGAAAAGCCAAAGAGUGUGGCUAAGUCAGUUGACUAAGACUCAACCAAGUCUCAAUCAAGUGGCAUAACAUAUACUCCCUCUGCCGCGAAUUGCUUGUCACUCAAAUGGAUUUAUCUUCCACUAAAAUAGUGCUAGAUACAUCCAUUUGAGCGACAAGUAAUUUGGGACGGAGGGAGUAUGAAAUAAAAAGAAGAAAAUAAAAUAAAAUUUUGAAUGAAUCUCCACGCGAGACUUCACGAAUAUAGCACCGACUGAGACAUAAGCAAGUCUCAGUCGACUGAUAUUUAGCAACACAGAAAGCCAAAAAUAGGAAAAUGAGUUAAAAUUUUGAUUUUUAAACUUAUUAUUAAAAAACAACAAGAAGUAUAAAAAGGAAAAAGGACGAAAAAGGAAUAUUCUGCAGACCAAACCUGGAUCAGGCCAAGUACAAGCAAUUUCCGAUUUUUCUGCCAAAAAACCCAGUGACGUUCACCACGCGAUUGACCCCAAUCUGAUGUUUCCUGUUCGGCGCUUAACGUGCCCGUUACAGCGAGCGCCCACACCGGAGGUUUUUUCGUUGCUUGAUGGGUCGGCCCACCUCAGCUCCGCUUUUGCAUCCGUUUUAGGAAGCUUCCGAACUUUUUUUCCCGCUCUCUUUCUUUGUUUCUUUACGUUAAGUUCGGCUUUCUCUGAUUUUUGUUUUCACUGGGUUUCUUCGGUUUUGUGUUUUUUUCCUAUUCCAUUUUCUGUUUGUUCUUUAUUUUUAAUUUUUGGUUUUACUUUUUGGUUUUCCUUUUUUGUUUUCUCAUUUUAAAUUUCAUGAUUUUUUUAAAAUUCUGAACAAAUUUUAAAUUUGCAAUUUAUUUUUCAAUUUUUGUGAACUUUUUUUCGAUUUUGUAUUUUUUAAAAUUCCUGAUGUUUUUGAAUCUGUGUAAUUUUUUCGAAUCCACUAACUCUUUUAAAAUUCAUGCACUCUUUUCAGAUCGAUGAACUUUUUCUUAAAUUCGUGAACUUUCUAUGAAUUUGCAGAGUUGUUUUGAAUUCAAGAACAUUUUAUGGGUGCUGCUACGCGUUGGUCGGGGGAUCUUUUUAAAAGAUCCGCCGUCUCGCGAGCCGUCGGAUCAGACAAAUUGAGCGACUGAGCAUCACUCUUUUAUCAUUGCAACACAGGUCGUGUUGCGGGAAAUUUCGCAACACAAGUCAUGUUGCAGAAAUUUUUGCAAGAUAUUCAUUUUUUUGCAACAGCGGUCUUGUUUCUUCUUUUUUGGCAACAGAGGUCUUGUUGCAAUUUUUUUCUGCAACAAAGGUUUCACUGCAAAUUUAAUUUUUCUGAAGCAGAGUUCUUGUUGCAGUUUUUACUUUAACAGAGACCUUGUUGCGGAAACUCAUUUAGACAUUGAGCAGCGAGCAGCGAGCAGCAGCCACAUUGACCGAAAGAAAGAAAAAAGACCGCUCCCUCAGGACACGCGUCGUACGGACGAGCCGGCGGAUGCUCACGUGCGAUCCGCCUGUAGAAGCCAAGCGUUUUCCUUUUUAUAAUUCGUGAACUUUAUUUAAAUCUGGGAACAUUUUCUUUUCUUAUUUCAUAAAAAUUAAACCAAUAAAAAAAGAAAUCACUAAUGGAGGAGCGCUCCCCGCAACGAUUAGUCGGGGAGCGCUCCCCGCACGCCAAGUGUCACGCGCGGAGCGCUUGUGAGAAUUUUCCGAGAUGCUCCGCGCGCGACACUUGUCGCGCGCACGGCGUCUCCCGUGAUUUCCGUUUUCCGGUUUCCCUUUGUGGGUUUUCCUUUUUUCACUUUAGUCCUUAUACUUUUAAUGUUUUGUAAUACCUUUUGAUCUGUUUUGAGAUCUGUUUCUCUCUCGUGUGGGAGAACCGUCGUCGCGCACUGUUCUUUCUUUGCCGUCGUCUCCGCCCGUCACGGCCGCCGCUCUUGUCGCGUGGUUACGACGGCCCCUGUCCCGGCCGCCGCGCUUGUUGCCUGCUCUUACGGCGGUCCUUCUUUAGCGUCGACCGCGCUUCCCCGUUCGCGAUAUCGUCGUUCCCUACCGGUUGCCUUCGUGGGUUCCCCGUUUCCCUUUCUCGUUUCUCUUUUUGUUCCCAUUAUAUUUUCGGGAUAUGGAGAUUUAUGGGGUAGUUACGGGUGGGGACUACCAACACUAUAAGAUGUCAAGUUUCAACUGGGUUUUGUGGGAUUAGUUCUUGAUAAUCAUUGUGUUCCUUGCAGUUAUGGCUUGUCCUUUUUGCCGUAUGCCUGGUGGCCCGUGUUCUUCUGUUGAUUCUUCUGUAGAUGGGUUCAGUGUGGUCCUGGAUCGACGUUGUUGGAGGCGUGUUGUAAGAAUAUCAUUUUAUAAUUGUUCAAUUUUUGGCACACACGCUUAUUUCUUUUGGUGCUGCCCAUGCUGUUUAGGUUUAGAUUAUGAUCCUUGUUUUGAUUUGUUGUGCAGUAUGUUCCGUGCAGUGUUAGAGCUCAUCUUGCUCGUUACAUCGAGGAGUGUAGGGCUUUAGCCAUAAGGAGGGGUGAGGAAGAUACUAAUCUUGCUCUUCAGUGCAAUGAGGGUUAUUUGUAUGGUGUUCUGUUUAGUCAUGGUCGGGUGAGGAGCAAAUUCCAUGGUCUUUCCUGGGAAUGAUUGGUCAGUGAUUAUGGUGUUCGUCCUCGUGAUAUAAUGACCAUUAGGCUUGAACAUUAUGGAACGUGGAUUGGUAUUGAUUUUUAUCGUGUUGGUCGUGGAGAUGUGUUGUCUCCUUUACCGUCUGUUGGUAAGGUUUAUUUUUAAGGAAGUUUUUAGCUUGUUUUAAUGUACAUGAUGAUUUUUCUGUUCCCUUGAGCCUGUGUAAUUAUAUUUUGUAGCUCUUGAUGGUUUGAGCGACUCCGAGAUGGAACUUGUUGGGAGUUGUUAUUACACCCGUGGUGUUUUUCUUAAUUACCAGCAGAUGUAUUUCAUGAGGUGUCAACUCUUUGAUGAUGACUACAUACCCUGUUGUCCUUUUGUUCACAGGAUUGAUUCCAUGAAUGUUAAUGGUCAUCAUAUGGUCAGAUUUUUUUUCGACUGUUUUUUCUUUGUUUCUGUUUAUUUAUUUAUUUUUGUUAUCUCUUCUAUUUAUAGUUUUGAUUUUUUUUCUAUUUCUGAUAGCUUGAUGUUUUCUGUCAGGUUAUUCCUGGUAUUGUUGUGAGGAGUUUGUGACUUUUCCUAGGACUGGCGUUUUAACCCUUGAAGUUACUUUGGAAUCUGGUGAUGAUGAUAUAUAUGUGAGCACUGCUUGCUCCUACUUCAUUGGCUUGGGUAAUAGAAUGGUGUUCAAACAGGAAGGUUUCAGUGAUUUUCUCCAGGCAUCGUCUAUUGAAGUAAACAGCUUGGUGCUGAUAACUUUCAAAGAGCGUGAUGGGAGGCUUGUUGUUAUCUUCAAUCUUCCGCCGCAGUGAUGUUAGUUAUAGCCUUUGAACAUAAAUGGAUUUUGUUUAAAAAUCUAUGCUACGGUUUAAUGUUAUCUAGAUAUAUGAAACGAUAUGAACCUAAGUGUUUAUUGCUGUUGUAUGUUUGUAGAAGAGGUAUGGGUGUGCAUCUCUUUUAAAGAUGUUUUUUUGGACGGAUGUUAUUUAAUUGGGGUCAUAGUUAUCAAUACAGUAGAGGCACGUGUGUUGUUUACUCUGAGGCACGGUUGUGCAUCUCUUUUAUGUGAGGCACGUGGAUUAAGCAAAUGAAGGCACGUAAUUGAAGUGAGUUCAGGCACGGUUGUGAGGAGGCACGGAUAUACUGAGAGGUACGUGUGUGUAGCGCCAAAGUUGUACGGGCGAUCACGCAUGCCGAACACGUAGAGAUACUGUGGGUUUCAUGCGAGAGGCGUGUGUGUGUGUAGCACGUAGAGUUACUGUUGGUUUUAUGUGAGGCACGUCGAUUGAGCAAAACGGAGGCAUGGAAUUAUAGUCAGUACAGGCACGGUUGUGUGGAGGCACGGGUAUACUGAGAGACGCGUCUGUGCAGCACCAAAGUUGCACUGGCGAUCACACGUGCGGAGCACGUAGAGUUACCGUGGGUUUCAUGUGAGGCACGUUGAUCAAGCAAACAGAGGCACGGAAGUGAAGUCAGUACAAGCACGGUUGUGUGGAGGCACGGUUUUGAACCCUCUUACUGUUGUCAAGUUUCUAGAUGCAUGGAUGUACGACAGUAGAGGCAUCAGUCCGAAUAUUUGGUUAGAGGGGCUCGGUUGUGGAUGCACAGGUUUGAAGUCUCUAGGGUCACGGUUAUGUGGCACCACAGGCAUGGAUUGAGUAGACACUUAGAGAGCCACACUUGUACAUAGGUCAGUUGCACACGGUAGUGUAGUUUUGUGGCAUCGUGAAGAACUGGUGUACGAAGAGGAACCUGUGUGCAAUAGCAAGGAUGUUCUGAAUGGACGGAGCGGUGUUUGAUAUAAAAUGGUUGUGUUGUGUGAUUUUAAUUUUUUUUUCAAUGUGGUUAAAGUAACAAAGUUCUUGUUGCUUGUGUCUGUGUACCGAAUGUUCUUCUGCAAUAUUUAUGAAUUGUUCACGCCAAUGUUUAAUAAGCAUUGUACUGAAAGUUUACAACGAUAUCAUCACAUGUUCUUGUAAAUGCACGAUGCAUCUUGUAAAGGUUGAGUAUGAAAAUUAUAAUACAAUAUCGUGCGACAUAUCUCUCGUUCUAUAAUCAUGGAUACAAUAUAUGCUUGCUCAAUACUGGGAAAUAACUUACUAAUUGCAUUUAGACAUGUAAAACGUAGUAUGCAUUUGUACAUGAGCACACCACUGUGUUCAAAGUUCAAACGUAAAAUAGUAAUACAAUACACACAACAUCUUUGAGCAACAAAAAACAUAUUUACAAUAUAGGUUCAUACAAUCUAAAUUAUGAUAAUAGUAGUUCCUACUAGUUUAAUGUAGACAUCCAUUUUCUCGCAAUUCACCAAUGACUGUUUCCCUUCCGGCGCUUCCAGCCGCCGGAAGAUCCCUCGUCUUUGUUCUUACGUGGGCGGAGUCUUUCUUUCAUUGGUUGUUGGUGGAGGUGACGUAGCCCAUUCUUGAUGAUUAGGAUUCUACGGUACAACUCAUAGCUAACAUACCCGUCCUUUGCCGCGUACUCAAGGUGUAUCGGGGAAAGUGGCUUCCACUCCCAGAACUGGUGCUUCUCCUUUGGGAAUGAUUUCUUCAUGUUCUUGUAUGAGGGGUCAAUGAUGGCCACUGCAAGGUCUCCCAUGGAGUCCCUUUCUCCCCCACCCUUGAUGCAGAAUAGCCUCUGGAUGUCGACGUGGUGCUCGUCUGGAAUUUUGAUCCAUGCAUGGGCAAGCAUGGUCUUUUCGUUCCUGGUGUCGACGCUAGUGAAAGUUACCGCUUUCCGUUGCAGGAAGUCAACUAACGCUUGGGAGCGCUCGGAUCUGCAGUAGUGGUAUACAAGGACAUGCUCGCGCAUGGCAAGUUGGACGACAGCGAUCCCUUGUCGUAUGUAACUGCUCUUACGUGUGUACUCAAGGUCGAGGCCGGCGAACUUGUUCUUCUCCUCCUUUAGCCAUUCCUCGUACUUUUUGAUGAUCCGCUCCACGGUCCUUGGGUCGUUGGUGUACACCACCUCCAGCACGGUUGUACCGUGGGUAGUGAUGUGUUCGGUGAGUGUUGUUAGUUUCCCGUCAUCCAUGGCUGGAGGUGUGCGGUGGUGAACUACGGCCGGCGAGAAACUUUCAAGGAAGAGGAUGCAAAUGGAGUCAGAAAAUUGAAAGGGAUCUUUUGUCGUGCAAAAAGGGAAACCGCCAAGUAGCAGUUGCUAGUCACCCGGCGGUUCCAGGCGUAGAUUUUCGGAAACAGGCGACCGCUCCUCAAUUAGUGAUUUCGUUUGUUUUAUCUGUUUGUUUUUAAGAUUUUCACUUAUCUUGUUCGUUGAAUUUUUUUUAUUCGUUGCGUGCUGCGUGCGUGAUCCAUAUGUGUGUAUUCCAUCUUUCGCUGUGAAAGUAGUCGUGUAAACGGUAGAACACUUAGCAGAUGCAUGGUCGCGCCUUUGUUGUGAAAACGUUUUUUUCAAUUAACAAUCUUCCUUGGUUCGGGAGGCACUGUUGUUAUGUUAUUCAGUGCAGAAGUGUGUGUUUAGGAAAAGUUGAAGUAAAUAUAGUUUGGACUUGAAAACAGAGUCCUGUUUGGUUUUUAAUUGAGAUAUGUUUCACUAGAUGGUUUGAAUAAGUUUGAUAACAUGGCAUUGCUAUAGGUUUUGAAUCACAAACUGAUUCUUGUUUCGUUUGAUUUUUGAAAAUGAUUCUUUCUGUUUUUUGGAUUUUUCAAUUAAGAUUUUUUCGCAUGAAUCAUUCCGAUAGUUCAAACAAUAUUUGUUGCAAAGGAUCAUUCCGAUGGUUGAAACAGCAAGUUGAGUGUCCGUAAGAUCUACAUAAGUUGCAAAAGAUCAUUCUGACAGUUCAAGCAAGCACAUGGUCCAUAAUAGUUAUAUUACUCUACCAUCCUAACUAGCAAACUUAUAGUAACCAGUGUUUUGCUGCUGGAGGCAUCAUCAUGAAAUGAGCGCUGACAUCCUAGGAGAUACACAGCUUGCUUCCAUUUUAGGUGCUGGUUCCGACGGAAUCUACAGAAUGCGCUGAAUGAUGAUGGACACAGAACGGUCAUGGCGCUCUUUGAAAGUGAUUAGAACAACGUUCUUUUCAACAAAGGAUGUAGCUGAUAUGAAGUCUCUGAAAGAAUACUUUUCUAUUACCAUCCUGCCGUCGUUUUUGGAGAUGUAGUACGACGAAGGAGUGAUGACAUGGGUAGGUUCAUCAGGAGCUUCAAGGGUCACCCUGCCAUUGGUUGGCAUGUCCACCCAUCUCUUCAGUGUCGAGACAACGCUCCUCGGAAUUUUCUAGAAGAAAUCGAAAUUAAAUAGAAAUUAAAACCGUUGUCACUUGGACAAUAAAUAAAAGAAUGGCUGAAUACGGUGAGUGCGCAAACAUUAAGAAAUUCCAUAUUGAAAGUAAUAUAAUUCCUGGCAUGUUCAGGUUUGUGUAUAAACAGCUAAAACAACAUAUUAAGAGAACAACAAAAGUUUUGUUGUUUUAGGUUUGAAUAAAUAGGUUCUUUAUAAUUUUACAUAUGAGCAAAAUACGUUUGGUAUUUUAACAAGGAUAGUUGUAACCAACCAUGACGCAGUCUUUGGUGUUAGUGGGGGUCAAUAUGUGGACAAAUGGACGGCAACAGAUGAAAGUAUCUCCGAAAAGGCGUUGUAGAAAGAUUCGUGUCUCGUCGUAGGUAAGCUCAAUAUCCUUAGACUAGACACAGCAGUGAACAUGGUCGAAAUCGUCAGAAGAAAGAUCGUCGAGAGCUAGAAAAAGAAAAAGAUUUUAAAGUUAGAUAAAGUUAUAUCCAACAUGGGGUUAAUAUUAUUCAGUUCGAUUCAUGCAUAUAAAAUUACAGUGAAAGAAGAUAAGUUUCUAAUAUAAAAUACCUACCAACGUGGGGUAAUGGAAGCAGCCUUUGUCAUCCCGAUAUGUUUGUAAUUCGAUAUUGAGACCCUCGUCUGGUAGUUCAAAUUCUAUGCGGUCUCCAGCACGAAGUUCAUAAUCAGCCACAAAGAUGUUCCACUCACCACCGCAGAACUUUGUGUAGUUCGCCCUAUGCUUAAACAAAGCAUUGUAAGACCUUCCUUCAUGUGUAAGAAGGGCUGGCUCUACCUGCUGUUUGCGCAAUUUUCUUGCUUCUUUCUUCCUCUCUUCAAUGUAUUCAGCGAGAAAAGCUCUGACAUUACAAGGUACAUACUGGAAAAAAAUAGUGCAAAUAACAACCUGUAAGUAUAAAUUUGAACUCGCGUAUUAUUAAUGUUAAAAGUUUUCUUAAAUUGGAUAUGAAUUUUUGAUAAGAAUUACAGAUUUUUGGCAUAUGUUGACUAAUUUUAAUUAGAACUGAAGAUGCACUAUAGUAAUCAAGGUAUGGGCAGGCAAACUAAUGGAAAAUGAAAACACAAGACAAGUGCGAAGAAGUGACAGCAGGGGAACCUAGUGUAGGUGCAAGGGGGUAUGAGUAACAGCGACGAUUUCUACUAUGUUGUAAGCAACUAAUACGUUAGUAAUGCUCACUAAUCAUGCGGCUCCAGCAAUUUUCAUCAAGAAUAACCUCAAAGUGCUGGAGAACUUCAGGGUGUGGUUCGUAAGGGCCGCCUGGUUGGCGGCAGGUAGGGCAAAUCAUACCUAAAUAAUUCAGAACAACUAUGUUAAGAAAACAAGAAUAUCAUAACAAUUUAAAACAAGCUUCAACAUUGAAGGUAGACAACGGCUAGCUUCAGCUACGUUAGCCGUAUUAAAAAUAUCCGUACGAAGGUAGACAACAACUACAAAUUUACCAGAAAUCUUCUCAUCUAGUCCUUCCAGAAAAGCAGUAUGACAGAGUUUAGAUCACUUGUUUAGAUUUUCAAAUGGUUUUUUAUUGCUUUAGAGAAUGAAGUCGUUGUACCGGAUUUGAUGCUUCAAUAACUAUCAAAUGAAAAACCUAACGUAAAAUAGUAAUAAUUUAAAUAUCUUUUUCAAAACGUAGAUACGGAUCGGAGCAUGCUGCUUACGCAUAUGCUUUUUACCUGGGAGAGAAGAAGAACGUGCGUCGACGAACGGAGAUUGGGUUAUGGGAAGCUUAGGGCAAGUUCCCACGGCCAGCAAAUCUACGAGAGAAGCACGGCUUAGAAGUUAAUCGAGAGACCCAAUAAAAACUCUACAAUAACUUGUUUGAAAUGAGACUAUGUGCGAGGAAGAAGCACGAACCCUAGAAGUAGGCGGACGGAUAAGACAGAUGGGUUGUGAUGGGAAGCUUAUGGCAAGCACCCACGGCCAGCAAUCUACGAGAGAAGCACAACUUAGAAAUUAAUUGAGAGGCCCAAUAAAAAAUCUACAAUAACUUGUUUGAAAUCAGAUUGUGUGUGGGGAAGAAGCACGAACCCUAGGCUAGAAGCAGGGGACGGAGAAGGCAAGUGAGUUGUGAUGUGGCUGAGGGAGUCGGAGCUUAUUUAAAUAUAAAGCAGUCUUGAGAGAGCAAGAGUAGUAAUGAGUGCUUCUUGUUUUACUUUUUAUCCUGCGAAAUGGAAUGAAUGUUGGUUUGUGGAUGGUGUGCGUGCAUUCCGAGGUGUUAUGGGGACGCGAGACGUUUGACUCGUCCAGCCGCCUCUCACUGUAGUUGUACAGCUGUGCUGCUUCCCAGCGAAGUCUUCUACGUGCCUAUCCUGCCUCACAUACUUUUUGUGAGGCACGGUUAUACAUGCUGAAAAGCAUGCUCGUGCUUCUGUGUUUUUUAAUCACAUGUUUAAUCAGAUAUGGUUGGGUGUGUCUUUAGGAGAGGAUCGGUGAUGAUGUUAUUAGAUGCACGGUCGUUGUAACAGGAGAGGCAUGGUCGAUAUGUCGGGGGAUGCAAAUAGACGGGAGGCAUGAUGGUUCCUAAUGAGAGGCACGUUUGCAUCUGAAAUCGAGUCACGGUUCGUGACUUUGGUAUUGCAAUUUUUUCAGGCAGUCGUUGACCCAGGGGAGCCACUGUUUUUAUGUACGCUGGCUUCAGGCGGGAAUAUGUAUGAUAGCCCACGGUUAUAUGUAUAUUAGAAGCAUGGACGUGCUUUUGUUUUGUCAAUGUUUCUGGUGGUACGCAGACAUGGUGUGUUGAUGUUACUGAGGUUUGUCUUUAACCAAAGUGGAGGCACGCGUGUGGCUUUUGUUCUGGCCGAACCAUGCUUCUAUUUUUGUUCACUCCCGGUGUAGUAUUUGUACGACAGGGUCAUCUCGCUUGCCUCUUCGCAUUGUUCUCUCGGUCAAAAGAUGUGCUGGUGACCGAUGGGAUGGCUAUUUAUUGUUAGUAUUUAUUGUGCCAGAUACCGUGCUAGAGUUAACCUAGAGGCUCCUCGAUUACAGCGUGGCAGUCGUGACUUUUGAAGUGCAUGGUUUCACGAGCUGCAGAAGCACAAUCGUCCAUUCACCGUUUCCGGUGCAAUUAAAUGGGUGCAUGGUAACUGAGACGUCUCUCCCCAAGGUUAAGUAGUGGUCUAUUCCUGGAGGUUAUCGCGUCUUAUUCUCUCUAGAGAAGUGCAGGUAGCUCCCGUCAUCCUCGCCUCGUACGAGAAGCACAGUCAAACUCCAUUGUCGUCUCAGCCUCGGUUCCAUGGACGACUUCAGGAACACUACUGAGCGUCUCUUUAUAGAUGCUGAUGGUAAUACCAAGCUUGAGGUGUUGUACACCAACGAGCCCUACAAGGUGGAGGAGAUUCUUACUCUCUAUGAGGAAUGGCUGCGUGAGGACAGGUACAAGUUUGUUUGUCUUGAUCUGGAGUACACACGAGAGGAUUAUUUUGAUCGUAGUAGAAAAGUCGCCGUUAUGCAACUGGCGAUGCGCAAGCAUGUUCUUGUCUAUCACUUGUGCAAGGCCAGGACGGAGUGCGCUGCUCUGAAGGAUUUCCUUCGGAACAAAGGUAUAAUUUUCGCUAGUGUCGACGUCAGGAAUGAUAGGGAUGUUCUCGCAAACAGUUACCUCAAAAUCCCAAGAGAGUGUCACAUCGACCUUCAAGAGGAGCUCAUGAUCAAAGGAGGCAAUCUAAGGGAUUCCAUGGCAGAUUUGGUAGGAGCCGUCAUAAACAAAUCUUACUUGAGUAUGAAGUCAUCUUUUCCACAAGGUCUGCAUGACUACUGGGAAUGGAAGCCGCUUUCCCUUGAACACCUGAAAUAUGCGGCAAUUGUAAGUGAAAAUUUCGUUUUUUAUGAUUUUCUGUCUUUAUAGUUUUGUUUUAUUGCAACAAUAGUACUUUUUCCCCUUUACGUAUAUCUUCAUUCUCAUCCGCUUUUUUGUUUUAGGAUGGGUAUGUCAGCUACGAGCUCUACCGCCGAGUUCUGUCUAUGAAGGACAUGAUGCAGCCUCGUUGUCUUCCCGACCCAGACGCCGUUGAUGCUUCUGAGCAGAACUCCAACUGAGUAGAAUGGUCACGGUGGUCUGAGCAGAAUGGACUCCUGGAAGACUUUCAUUUCUUUUUUUGUAUAAUUAAUGAGUACUUUUAGUUCAAACCUAUGGAGUAUCGUCUCAUGUUAUGUGAAUAUAAUUUCGUAUGUUUUUUCAUGUUACAAGUUCAUUGUUGAUGUUUGCGCGAGUUCAUGUACAUUUAGAGAACCUGUUGAAGUGGCGCAUAUGUAUUGUUUGGGAGAAGCGCGCUUUGUGUUUGGCUUAUAUUCAGUGCCGUUUGUUUGUGUUUGUAUUGUUGUCUUUUACACGUUCGCACAAGAGAGGCACGUCUGCUAACGUACGAGGCAACAUUUUAGUUUCCUGUCUUUCUGUGCUUUAGGACCGUGCCUCGAGAAUCCGGACAUCCGUGUCUGUUCAGGCUUCACUUCCGUGGCUUCUUUCCGUCUAUGCAUGUACCUCACGUGACACAUGCCAUGUCUGUAACGUGCUGGUUUCACACGGCAGUUCCUCUUGACACUACACAAACGUGCCUUUGCCACCACUCUUUUGUGCAUCCAGGUGGUUUGUUCCCGUGCCUCGAGAACUACGAGAAGCCGCAAUUCCGUGCCUGUAUACUCUUUAAUUCCGUGUCUCCUGUACGUGCAUUUGCGUGUCUCAGGCGUCAUGCUGGCUGUGACUCUACGUGCCUCUGGUGCCAGACGCCCGUCCGUGAGGGGACGCAUAUGUAUUGUUUGGGAGAAGCGUGUUUUUUGUUUGGCAUAUAUUCACCGCCGUUUGCUUGUGUUUGUAUUGUUGUGUUUUACACAUUCGCACAAGAGAGGCACGUCUGGUAACGUACGAGGCAACAUUUUCAGUUUCCUGUCUUUGUGUUCUUCGGGACCGUGCCUCUAGAAGCCCAGCAUCCGUGUCUGUGGAGGCUUCACUUCCGUGGCUUCUUUUCCGCUAUUCAUGUACCUCGCGUGACACACGUGAUGUCUCUAUGUGGUGGUGUCACACGACAGUUUCUCUUCAGACUACAUAACCGGGCCUCUGCCACCACUCUUUUGUGCGUCCAGGUGGUUUGUACCCGUGCCUCGAGAACGCCAAUUCCAAAGCCGUACCUGUGCGCCAAAAGCCGCAAUUCCGUGCCUGUAUACGCUUCCGUUCUGUGCGUCAUGUACUUGCAUUCGCUUGUCUCAGGAGACACACUGGCUGUGACUCUACGUGCCUGUGGUGCCAGACGCCCGUCCGUGAGGGGAUGCGGUGGCUGUGACUCGUCGUGCCUGUGCUUCUACACACCCGUGCCUCUGGACACUUUAAAACUGUGGCUCUUUCACUUCUCCCGUUGAUUCACUGCUUGUAUUUGAUGUAUCUCACGUGAUACAUGUCACAACUCUAUGUGUCUGCGGUGUCACAUGGUUGUCCCUCUUGAGAGUUUGCAACCGUGCCUCUCGAAUAGAGUCUUCUUACCGAUGCCUCUGCCACCUCUCUUUUUUGCAUCCAGAGGAUUUGUAUCCAGAGGAUUUGUACCUGUGCCUAGAGAAUGCCAAUUCGAAAACCGUGCUUGUGCGUCGGAGAAGCUACAAUUGCAUGUCUGUACGCAGAGGGUGUGUAGCCGUGGCUUGAGAACGUCGAUUGCAAGGCCGUAUUCGUGCCUUGCCAAGCCGAAGCACGUGCCUGUAGAGGCUACGUUUCCGUGUCUUCCUUGCCUGCAUUCAUGUGUUUCCGGCGAGUUGCUACUUGUAUCUCUACGUGCCUAUGGUGAUACCCAUGCCUGUGGAAUAGACACGUAUGUGCGUCGUGUGCCUGCAUACCCGUGCCUGUGGGAUAGACACGUAUGUGCAUCUUGUGCCUGCAUACCCGGGCCUCACAUGAAACCAGCCUUGACUAUCGAGGGACAGAUGUUGUGAGUCUAGCUAGAUGAGGCACGGAUGAGUUUUGGCCUUCGGAUCUAAGGUGUACGGCUGGCUGUUCGUUUGCUUCAUUGGAUUGUUCCGUCGGUGGUCUUUUUUCAAAGGAGGAAUUGAUGACCGAUGUGCCGGCUGUUUGAUGUGACUAUUCAGUGUGUCAGUUACCGUAAAAUAAAGUUGGAGGCUCCUCCAUUUCUCCACGGCAUCAAAUAUUUGUGCACAGCCAUGACUUUACGAAGUGCAUGGUUUCAUGAGCUUCGGAAGCACAAACGUCUAUUCGCUGUUCCUAGUUCACAUGUUAAUGUGCAUUGAAACUCAAACGUCCCUCGCCAAGGUUAAAUACUGGCCGUGUUUGUGAGGUCUUCACGUUGUAUUGUAGCCACAGAACAUCAGUCAGUUCCCACCCUCCUCACCACUCCCCAACCUUGUCGCAGGGUCUUAGGAAUCUCCAUUGGCACCUUGCUGCUCGCUGCCAUGGACGACUUUUUGAACACCACCGAGUACCAUCCUAUAGUUGCCGAUGGUAACACGAAGCUCGACGUGUGGUACACCAACGAGCCUGGCAAGGUGGAGGAGAUCAUUGCCUUGUACGAGGACUGGUUGCGUGAGGAGAAGCACAAGUUUGUUGGUCUCGGCAUGGAUUUCACGCGAAAGGAUUGUUACGGGCGUAGAAAAGUCGCCGUCAUGCAACUGGCUAUGCGGAAUCAUGUUUUGGUCUAUCACUUCCCCAGGGCCAGGACGAAGUGCCCUGCCCUGAAGGAUUUCCUUGAGAAUAGAGGUAUAACUUUCUCUAGUGUGGGCGUCAGGAAUAUUAGAGAUGCUCUUUUUCAAGAUUUCAUCAGAAUUCCAGAAGGGUACCACAUCGACAUCCAAGAGAAGUUUAUGAUCAAAGGCGGCGAAGAAAGGGACUCCAUGGAGGACUUAGCAGGAGCCAUCAUUGACGAAUCUUAUUCGAAGCUGGAGUCAUCUUUUCCAGAACUUCUUCGUCACUACUGGGAUUGGAAGCCACUUACCUUUGAUCACCUGAAAUAUGGAGCUACUGUAAGUGAAGAUUUCAUUUUCGUUAGUUUCUGCCUUUGUUGGUAGAACAGUACUUUUUUUUGUAUAUUCAUGUUUUCAUUUGCUUUUCCUUUAGGAAGGGUAUGUGAGCUAUGAGCUAUACCGCCGGUUUCUGUCGAUGAGGGACAUCCUGCAUCGUCGCUGUCUUCCUGAUCUCAGAUGGCGAGGACGUUUCUGAGGAGUAGUCCAGAUGGAAGUGCUGGCAAGAUGGAUUGUGUGAUGAAUUGGUUAUUUGAUAGUUAUUGUAUGGGGUAAUAUUACAUAGACUGAUGAAUUUGUAAUUGUGGUGGUUUUAUUUUGAACCAGAUGGAGUUGACUAGUUUGGAAAUUUAAGUUUAUUUUCAUUCCAUUAUGUUUUUCUUGAUUGGGUGCCUUCAAGAAUAUUUUCCUCUAUGAUUUUUUGCUACGAGUUGGUAUAAGAUGAGAUGUAUUAAGGGGAGCACUCAGAUGUGCACUUUCGUGAUUCUAGGCAGCCCACAGUCGUCUGUUCAGGGAGGCAUUGUUUUUGUUUUAGGCAAGGCACGCUCUGGUCUUAUUAGUUUGCUAGCUGCUUCAGUUCUUCUCUCAAUAUCGUUACACUGACAGGUAGGGGCUUUACUUUUGCUUUGUGUUUGUACUGUGUUUGGCACGGUUGUUUUUAUAUUGAACAUACGGUUGUGGUUGUGUGUUUCAAAUGUUUUUAUGCAGAGCUUGAGUGUGUUUAAGAUUCUUUAGAUUUUCUCACUGUUCUGUCUGUUUCAAUAUAUGUUGUUUGUUUCAAUAUAUGUUGUCUGUUUUAGGGACGGUAAUCCAGUGUGAUACUUGCUGUGGGAGUAUUGUGUUAUCGACGGUUGUGUUUCUGUGUUUCAAUUAUUGUGGUGGUACUUUGAUUUUGAAAGGCAUGGCCGUGAAGGCAUUGGAUGCAUUGUCAUAUGUUUGGUAGAGGCGUUAUCCUUCCUUUGGAUAUUAAAUUCAGAGAGGCACUACGUUAUGUUAGUAUGAGUCACUGUCAUGGUUGUAUGUUCUGUAAUAUUUCUAGUUAGUCUGCUCGUGAAGUCACGUCUGUCUAGUUAGUGGAGGCAUGUGCUAUGUUAUGUUGAGUCAGAGUUCUGUCUGUUGUUUGCAAAUGCUUUCUCUUACACGUUCGCUCGGAGAGGCAUGUCUACGACGUUACUCAAAGGCACGGUCGUGCCUUUCUUUCGAAACGUUUGCUUUCACUUAUUUGCUGAGAGAGACUCGUCGUUGAAACUUGUGAGGUCAUGGACCUUUUAUAGUUGAAGUCACGGUCGUUCUUCUGUUUUGGUAUUUUUCAGUUUAGUCGUCUAUGACAGAGGAUGGUUCUUCUUUUUUUAACUUGAGCCACGGUCAUGCUUCCAUGACUCAUUGGCUUGGAGAGGGACCGGUGUUAAGCUAUCGAGAGGGGGCGGUCCUGUGUUAACUGGUGGCGCACUUGUGUGUGUCAGCUUAGUUGUCCGUGGUAAGAGAUGCACGUUCUACGUGGACAAGAGGCACGACAGUGCCUCUAUGAUCCGCAUUACUGGAGGUGAGUCAUUUAGCAACAUUACUGGAGGUGAGUCAUUUAGCUCCUUCAUCAGAUGCUUACGUAUCGAUAGUGUUUUUCCUCUGUGUUGCAGUUGUUUCUUUUAUUAUGUCUACUCGAAGUGAGUGGUGUUCUAGUGCAAGGAAGUGAUGUCUUGAAUAUCAUGUUUAUAACUUUUGGAAAAACUACAGCUGUGUUUAAUGGGAUCCAUAGGAGAUAUCUUGGACCGACACAAAAAUAGCUGAAACAUUGUUGUGAUUAUAGGAGUCGAUAUGGCUGAAAUAAUGUUCGCAUGGCUCCAGCUAAAUUAAGGCACAUUUAAGCAGUAGUCAUCUUUUUCCAACUCUUCUUCUUUUGCGCCGGAUAUUGUGCUUGUCGAGGACGAUGCUCAGUGCCUCAAAUACAUGGCCUGUGUUGUAGUUGGAUGUUAUCAUUUUGUAAGUUAGUUGUUCCCUCAUUGGUUUCACAUGGAUCUGCAAACACAUAACCGUGCAAACUGAUAAAAUUUAUUGUAAAACAUAAUGUUCAGCUGGCUUGGAUGAACGUAUGUUGAUUUGUUGUCAAUGAGACUGAACUUACUUUGUUGAUUAAAAAAUGAAUUGUUAUUCAAAUUAAUGAGUGGCAUCAAAUGCAUGGUGUAAAUAGCACUGUCAUCCCUGAAAAUUGAGAGCAAUAAUGUUAGUGAUUAGAAGGUGAACAGUAGAUAUGGGAUGUGUAGUGGAACAAAAAAAUGCAUGGUUUAAUUGAGGUAGAGCUACAGAUAAAAGAAACUCACUCUCUGUCUGAGUUACAUACACUCUGCACAGGUUUGACAUGAAACAAGGCCAUGGUGUGAGGAUGGUUGUUGUAAGCAGAAUGGUAAGCUCUCUUGAAGUUUUCGAUGACAAUGUCCGAGUGCUCCUUUAUACCGUCGCAAUUGAUAUAAGGACAAAGAAUUUCGAAGCGACGCAUUUGAAGAUUCAUGAUGAUGAGGUAGAUAAAAUGUGGUUCUUUUCUCACAGGUAUUAAGACCUAAAAUAAUUAACAGGGAAUAAUAUCAUUGUAAUAAGAAAAACUGGUAGAAUCGAAGACGAACACUGGGCAGAUAGAGUGAGUAGGGUGAACUCACGAUGUUACAUUUGUUGGGCAGUCUGUACCCAAUAGUCUUUUCCACAAUGUGUUCCUUGAGUAGUUCAAUGCUUGCUCCUAGAACUUGAAAUUUAUCCUGCAGAAAAUUGAAGCUGUGUCACUCAGCGUGGUAGUAGUAGUAAAUGUGGUUUGUUAUUAUUAUUUAUGAGAUGCAAGAACUUACAGAAGCGUCCAUGUACAUUAUAUGCUUGUGCACAAGUGUUGGCUGUCCGUAGAAUUGUUCUUUCAUCAGCAACGUUGAGUAAGUGUCGACCACGAAUGAGUUGAUAUAUCCGUACACCUUCAUUGACAAACCUAAAGUUCGAUGAUCGGCCCAACGUCGAUCGACGAAGAAUAUCCUCUUGCUGUCAAAAAAACAAUGAAUUUUAAAUCGUAAGAAUAGUAGUAUUCAAUUACAAUAGUAGAAGAAUCGAGCCGAAACACUUGAAUAUGAUAGCUUCAGGCAGAAUAAAUUGCAUUAGUAAACGAAGGGACCAAAACUUUACUAUAACAGGAACAACGAAUUCAUUACCUAUCAUUUUGCUUGACACCUGGUGUAUUGUCGACGAUUGUUUCAUACACUUCUUUCUCCUCGUUUGUGGAGUCCCUUAUUUCCAAAAGUUGGCAGUGAUCUUGAUGGUCAUUCCCUUGGUAAGUGAAUCGAGUCUGUUCUAGCUCAGAAUGAUGUUGAUGAGGCUAGAAGACAUGACCACCAGAGUUCAAUUGACCAUUACUAAGUUGCAGACGACCCUCAUUAUAAUUGUUGUUUCUUUGGAACAUUAGGCGUUGUGGUUGGUGCUGCAUGUGUAGUUCUAAUGUUCUGACAGUUGGAUCACCGGUUGAGCUUGAUGGAAUAUCUGUUGGAAGAUGCUGGAGAGGAUGGCCGGAAUACUGCAUGCUGUUGAACUGUUGUUGCAAGGCACUGUAACUUUGCCCAUUAGACUCGCCUCUGUGUGGUUGCUGAUUGUUCUGCUCUUGAGGUUGGCGUUGUUGGCACCGUGUAGUGUGUUAUUCUGAGCAUCAUUGUGUUGGGGGUAGUGGGCAUCACGGACAGUGGUUUGUUGCUGGUACUGCUUGUGACUUUGGUUGUUCAUCGCAUAUGGUGAGCGCUAGCUGUUGUUUGAACCGCCGUUAUUCUGAGCACCAUGAUGUCGGUAGAAGUGGUUUUCGAUACUAGGAGCUGGUUGGUUGUAGUGUUGGGACAAGGGAGUUGCUGGUAAACUUUGGGACAAGACAGUUUGAGUUAAACAUGUAGAGUAUGACGUAUCAAAGGCCUGUGUGAGGUGGCUACCGCCUGACAUUGAUCCUGAUCUGCUGGGUAUAGGUGGCUCUGGAUAGUUAGAAAGGGAAGAUCUAGCUGACGAGCUUGAAAUCUUGGCCAAGUGUGAGACAGUAUCAGGUUGGCAUUGUUGUGAUGCUACUUGGUUAUGAAAGGGUUGUUUCUUUUUUUGUUCAGUGACUCUGUCAAGUUGUUCAUAGAUAGAUGGGUCAGACCAUAUUUGAUCAUCAUCAAUGAAUCCACAAUCAAGGAGGCCUCUGCGGUUGUCAGCAUGUAGAGAUUGGUUGUUUGCAGUUUCUGUUGAAUUAUGUGGAGGCUCCAGUAUCCUAACUCUUUUCAUAGGAGGUGCUGUACUCUUGUUACCUGGAUCUUCUAACUGCUGUAAGGACCUCUUGUGAGCUACCAUUUGUGGUUCCGGUUCUGGCGGAUGUGCGCUUGUGGUAAUAGGGACGCUGUCUGUGGGAUCAAUAGGUGGUUGCUUCGUACAUUGUUCAUGUUCUUCUGCAAUGUUAUUGUCUUCUGCAUCGACAGAUGCUGCAGCAACCAGUGGAGCAUCACUAGUGGAUGGAAUUGCUUUUCCCGUGUCCAGUACUGAGCCAGAACCGUUGGCAGAAUCACUGGGGACUUCUACUGUAGGAGCAAGGGAGGAAGUAGCUCUUGUGCGUUCUGUUUCAGCAAUGUUCUUCUCGUCACUCAAAGUUGAAACAAGACGGACCUUAUCUUCCGGCAACGAAGAAGAACGUUGUCCAGUGACAUUGUUUGAUUUUUGUGCAGGUUGGGAUACAGUGAGGCUCUUUGUGUUGAUUGAAGAGUUGUUGUGAGCGCUGUCAGAACCGCUGGACUGUGCAGUAGUUGGUGACGUUUUCCCAAUGUGAUAAACAGGUGCUCCAAGUGUAUCUAUUGAGAUUGGAUCAGUCAGUAAUUGUUUGUCAACCGCAGAGUGCGAGGAUGAUGUUUCUGUUGCAGUAGGUUUUGCUAUUUCCUCCAAGAGUUUUUCCAGUGGGCUUGUCAGAGAGUUGUGGUCUGCAGAUCCUCCAGCAGAAUUUUGGGUUUCAAUCAGUACAAAACACUUAGACGAAUUUUCACCUGUCAUUAUAAUUGCCCCGCUCUCCAGCAUCUCAGAUGUUGACACGAAGGGCAUAUGAACCGGCAAGCCAUCAAGGCAGUUGUGCAGAUGGUUAUGCACUUUGUCCAGAUGAAUCUUGGCUUGUUCAUCAAUGUUCUCUUUGUUGUGGUCGAUCCUGUUCACCUCCAGUAGCAACUUAAUCUGGGUUGAUGACUUUAGGCGUGAAGAUAGAUGAAUUUGGGACCGCUCUUUGUCGUACGGAUUCUGGGAUUCUGGGUGGGGUAUCGCAGCAACCCUUUAAAUUUUCCAGGGAGUAUGAUGUGGCGUGAAGGACACUGGUCGAGCCACUACUGGAAGAACUUUGACUGCUUGUCGUGCUAGAACUUGGAAGCGUAGAAUAUGUUGAAGGGAGUGAUGAAAAAGUUUCUUUUUCAUUUGAGUUGUCCUGUUGCAAGUUACAAUAAACGCCCCGGUCUCUGGUCUUGGUUUCUUUUGCACUAAGAUCCCUACCAAGUGAAAGGAGUUUCUCCAAUUUCUGCUCGAGAACUGGUUGAAACCGCGAGAAAAGUUCUGUGUACAUUUCAUUGAUAACUUUGGCAAUUUUCAUGUUGGUCUGGAAUUGAAAGAAAAACCAUCAGAAAUUAUUAAUACCGAGAAUGAAAAGAAGUUAUUAAUACCGAAAAUGAAAAAUAUCUUGUGAACUACUGUACGUUCUGUCAAUAAUUGCAGAAAGGGCAUGGAAUAAUGUGCGCAGAAGGACACAUGAUGUGAUGCGGGAAGCGCGGCUAACAAUGUCCAUGAAUCAUGGUGAACACAUUCCUUGAAAGAGCACACCCGACGUACCUUACGAAGCAUGGUUGAUCUACCGCCGCAGGGAAGCAGUGCUAUAUUUAACACAAAAGCACAGCUAACGUACUAUAGGAAGCACUUCUAUAUUUAACACAAAGGCACAGUUAACGUACUAUAGGAAGCACUUGUAGUUUUAACACAAAAGCACAGGUAACGUACUAUAGGGAGCACUUCUAUAUCUAACAUAUAAAGCCUCAAGAAAUGCUAGUCACAACCGAUGCCUCAAGCGCACGGCACCACGCGAGGCGAAAAAACCACCACACCGCGCCCGCACGUGGGGGUGCAGCGCACCACGUGAGGGGAAAAACCACCGCGCCGUGAUGAGCCCCGCGCCCGUCCGCUUUCUCCUCCAGUUCCCUCAGUCUCCAACCCUAAAUCUUUUCCCCCUACAGCCGCCUUCCCAAGCUCCUCAUCCCCUCCACUCCCUCGACAAUGGUGGCGGCGGUGCCCUCUAGUGGCGGAGGAGGAGGGGGGAGAUGGUGGCGGCGGCGCCCUCUGCUGGUGUAGGAGGAGUGCGGAGAUGGUGGCGCGGGGGCGACCUUCCCCUCACGCAUCCCAUCCCCCCUCGUCAUCCCGGAUCCCACCGGACCCGAGGCGUGCGGGCGCGGCAGCGACCUGCAAGGGAAGGGCGACGCUCGAAUCGAUCCAGCCAUGGAUCGGUCCCUGCGGGAGAAAGAGAAAAUGAGGGCCUCCGUGCUCAACAGGAGGAGCCGGGGUUGCUGAUCUGGCCGGCCCAGAUCCACACGCCUCCUCCUUCGGCCACCUCGCCCCACCAGCUUCCAGCGCCGUGGAUCCGCCGAAGAUGGAGGGCAGCAAGUGAGAGGGAGCAAGAGAAGAGGUGAAUCGAGGGAGUGAAACAAGGAUCUCACAGGGGAAGAGGAAGAAGGAGUCUGGCGGUGUAUCCUCGUCUCAUCCCUGGCUGCACCUCUUCUGAUGCCAUGGCACCAGUGGUGGCUCCUCGAUGGAGCACCUCCUUCCAUGAUGGCACCACCAGCGGCUCUUGCUCGACGCCACGAUACACAACAUCGAGGUAAGCUCGACUCCCUUUCUCCCCUCUCUCAAUUGAUAGUCAGUGAUUUUAUUCUCUCCUUUCCAUCUCAUGAUGGAUUCCUUCUUCCAAGACGAAUUAGUAACUUUAGCACCAAAUAUGAAGUUAUUUGGACAAAGAAAAGAGCAUAUGGCAAAAUUCUAGGCAAUCCCUUGCUAGCAUUUGUCUCUCUGAACUGUUGUUGGUCGAUAGGCCAAUAACCAUGGCGAUUUGCACUUACAUAUGCAUUCUGCCUAUGUUUUUGGGGUGGAAUUUUGCCUUCUCUUAGGUUGUGUUCUGCCAGGUAUAAGUUUGCCUGCAAAUUGUUUGUGCUAAUGUCUGUAAGAGCUGUUGUACUACACCUAUAUUCAAUUGAUGGCUAGGCACUAUACUGUGCAUAAGUAAAAUUUCCAGUUUUUCUUUUCGUAGUUGCAGCAGUUAUUCUGUACCAAUUGCUUCCUCUCUUAUUGUUGACUUGAAGUUAGAAGAGAAGAUUUGGUUUUCUUUUCUUAGGUUUUGACAAAGCAGGUGAGGCCAACAAAACUGCUGCACCAGAGUAAACAUGUGCUCCAGCAGUCGAGCUGUAUAUACACAUCUUUGCAUUCUGAUCCGUUUUGUUUUGCGAUUCAGGCCACCCCUGAUGCUUCUUCGCUUGAUGCCGAAGAAAAGGAUGAUCAGAUUCAGACGCCCAAGAACAACAGGUGCUGGUGCUGCAUCUUCUCUUAUAUGUUUAUCUAUGUACUUUCAAUUCAUAUAGUCAUUCAAAUUGUCUAUAUACACAUCCUGAAAUUAAGAAACUCCGGUGGUUUAAAGCGAGUUGGGCCAGGGAAGAAAUCAAAGCAGUGACUGCCCUGCACUAACUGUGCAAGGAUCAAAAGCAUAUAGGUGUAGCAAUAAAUUCCCCUCUUAUGCUCAAGUUAAAUUUCUUCACUGAAGAUACGGUAGGAAGUUACGUUUUGAGUUUGAUUCUUUAAACUAUAGGCCAAUUUGCAUAUUAAUCUCUUUAUUUAUUUUCUUACUACAGUAGCACACUUGCCUAAAUCCCACAUAAGACUGAAUGGUACUCUGCCAUGGUGUUUAAUCUCAGUAAUUUGUCUUGUUUUAUUUUGUCCGCGGUGACUAUGGAUGUGUUCUCAGCUUUGCCGACAGUAAAAAGAAGGCAUACAAAACAUUAAAUUUUUGCCUUGGUUGAAUGCCGCAUUUAAUUGUCGCUUAUGUAUUCCAAGUUAUUCAAUUCUCAUUGAGCUUUCCUUUGCUAAAGAAAUUUAAUACACAAUAUUUUUAAUAUGUGAGGAGGCGAGAGAAGAAAAGAGGGGUUGUUAGGUCAGACUUUGGUGCGUCUCUGGUCAGAAAUGGCUGGAUCCGUCCGACGCUCUUCCAAACAGUGUAGUGUAGAUUCGCUGACUAGUACAACAUCUAAACCUUCACUACUCUAGCUUCUUCUUACAUUUCUUAGUAUCAACAAAUAAGGUUGUCACAAUAUAUACUUGAAGAUUGCAUCUCGAGCCAGCUCGGGCCGCUGCUACCUCUUCCUCGCCGCCCAACAGGCCGCCGUGCUAGGGGAGCAGGGUAGCAUCGGGUCCACAUGCACUCUAAAGCCGAGUAAAAUCCUUGCAUUCGUAUUAUUCACUUUCAUUAUGCAAACUUCUCUUUCCAAGUUUGAGAGAACAAGAAGCCAGUGUCGAGGAAGCCUUGGGGUGUGAAAAGCAUAGUAACAAUAUAUCUGGGCUGCGAAGUAUAUUGUUAUGAAACUUUACUGUAAUUACGAUUUCCUAUUAUAGCUCAUAUGACGAAUUAUUUGCUGCUUUUACAUUUGCUUAUUUUAUUAACUUUUACUAGGAUAUGAGUAGCAUUACUCAAAAUUUUGCUUUGAGAAGAAUCUAAUGAUGUAUCCAAUUUCACAUCCAAGCUACUAUGAAUAUUAUGAUUGAGCGACUGCUUGGCGAUGUCAUCGUCAGAGGCUCAGGCCUCCUCCCUGGACAAAGCACUCGUGCUAGGCGGCGGCGAUCUGUGCGCCGGUUCAAGGUGAGGCAUCUCCUCAAGCCACAUCCAGUUUUUCCCAUGAGUUUGUGCUAAAAGAAUGAGUGUUCUUCUAUGACCCAUGCAUUCUGAAUUUAGGAGGAAUGACAACAAAGAGAAGAGAUCUUUUUGAAAUUCUUAGUAAAGUCUGAGCUUUACGUAAAUCUCAGUUUCCUUAGCUAACAUAUGUCUGCCGUUUCUAGUUUGAUAUGUGGCGUGAGGUUGGGAUUUGUGAUCAAAAUGGUUGGAUGUUGAUUCAAGAGUGUAGAAAGGUGAAUGAGAUUCAAGAACGAUUCAGGCAGCUUAUGAGUAUGUUACAUUCUGAUAUUGGCUUCAGAUUACAUAAUUUUAUUUCCUUUGGAUCGUUGCUUUGGUUCCCUGUGGCCAAGUAUCAUGGUUUUAAAGAUAACAUGUGUUUCAUGAAGGUAACAGGUGUUUCAUGAGACUAGGAUUCAUUUAGGAAUCCUUGUAGCACAGAUCUCCAUUCCUAAUUUGACUAGGAUAUGAGUAGCAUUACUCAAAAUUUUGCUUUGAGAAGAAUCUAAUGAUGUAUCCAAUUUCACAUCCAAGCUACUAUGAAUAUUAUGAUUGAGCGGCUGCUUGUUACACUACACCAUGCCACCAAACCAGUGCAUUUGAGUGCGAGUUCAGUUAUGUGUGUAAAUAGCUGUAACGGAAAUAAUAUGGAGUUGGGCAUCUGCAACUCUAAUUUAGACAAGGGUAGUCAUAUGUCAACCUUAAUCCUACAAAUGUGACACAAAUAAAUAAGAUUUGCUUUUGUGCCUUAUCAAUUUUCUUUCCUAAUAUUUCUUGGCUUGUAAACAGAGGCGGUAAGACGGUCGCAAGAAUGCCAAGCUCUUCAGCUGUGGCAUCAUACAAUAAUGGAAUUGAGCAUUCUGGCCAAAACAUAAAGGACAACGAAUAUGCAAGGUUGGUGACACCAGCUGAACAUGCAACAGCUGACAAGAAAUUUUGCCUAAGCAACCAAAGUUAAGACACUUCAUUUGGUGAAUGAAAGAUUUGCUUGGAUGCUUCCAUCUUAUAUUAGCAUCUUAUAUCUUCGUGAAAUUUGGAGCCCCUUUGCCUUUGAAAAUGUGAGGCGUUGAUACUUCCUGUGCAAAAGAAAAUCUCUUGUUAGGGAUUUUUCCAUUUAACAUGUGCUUGUUCUAGGGUAGCAGUACUCUCUCUGCUGUGGCUGCGUGUUCGACCGGCCAGCCAAGGAUCUCCAACAAGCAUGUGCGCCUACUCUCCUUGCCCUUAAUUCCUACCACAACAGCAGCUCCUGUGUAGUGUGAGCCAGAGAACUACUACACUAAUCAUGUUCCUGGUAUUUUCUCACUCUUGCUUCACAGACGAUGUAUUGUAGUUAGUUCAAAGAAAUUCCAUUACAUAUUUUGCACAUUUCCUGAUUGGUGACCAUCCAUUUUAUAUGAUGUUCUUCACCUGCAAGCGUUGAGUGUUUUUUUCCUUUCAAGUUUUUGUCUCUUGCUCUAUUUCAUGAAAUACAUUCCUCUUCUCAUUCCAUCAUUUAGCCUUGUUGAUUACUUACGAUUAGUGAUUACAUGCAAUCAUCCGCCUUAAAUUAGAAUAGUUAAUUAGUUAUGCCAGGUUGCUACAUUUCUAUCUCCUUUUUGCCAAAAUAAAAUUAAAAUAUGAUGGCAUGUUAUUGACCCAGCCUCGCCGUCCGCUGUGGCAUCACCUUCUUGUCCACCACCCUAACUCCGUCGUGUUUCAGGCCUAGCAUGUGACAGUGGUGCCGCGAGGAUUUGCUGCCAUGGGAGGAGGGGCCCAACCCAGAUGGCAGCCACCAGUAGGUCACACACUUAUUCAGCUCGCCGUCUGGUUACUCUGAUGGCUUCUCUUAAGGUAUCUUCUCGUGCAGCUUCACUCUUGCUUGUGUGUCUCGCGUGAAAAAGUAAGCUACCUGGCACUUGCUCUACUCUGCUUUAGCAGGCGCUCACAGAGGAGGCCAAGGGAUACAUGAUACUGGUAAUUUACUAAUGAUCCAUCUUAGUGGAAUGAUUUUGCUGUAGAUAUUUUCAUUGGUUGUCCUUUCAUUUUAUUUAUAUUCAUGGCUGGAUGGUGCCUUCCACUAUGCUUCUUCACUGAAAAGGUGUUUCGCAUAUGUGUACUUGCUUCAGAAUGGAAUAAUCUCAGAAUUCUGUUGAAAACAAAACUUAUUUAUUUCAGCAUGCAUAGUGUUUGGCUAUAGAGAUUGAGUGCUUCACAUAUCCGAUGGCAUCUCAGAAUAAUCUCAGACCUGUUUAAAUAACUUAGUGUUUGGCUAAGGAGUCCACAUUGAACGCCACAUAUCCGAUGCCAACACACCGAGGUGAGCUUCAGCAAACUCUCUCUCUCUCUCUCCAAUCAGACAUGUGAAUAUUUACCAGAGUGCUUCAAGAUCGAUCUGACGAAAGCCGUCCACUGCCGCUCUACUGUUUCUCUCUCUCUCUCUCUCGCCCUCUCCCCUCCAAUCAGACAUGUGAAUAUUUACCAGAGUGCUUCAAGAUCGAUCCGACGAAAGCCGUCCACUGCCGCUCUGCUGUUGGGACUAAUUUGACGGGAAUGGUGAUUUCAUGGUUGAUUAUGAUUACUUGGUUGUUGCUCUUGGAGUUACCGUGAAUACAUUCAACACUCCUGGUGUGAUGGGGCAUUUCCACUUUCUGAAGGUCAAAUCCUUAUUGGCAUUGUGUGUCUCUUUACUGUUCUGCUAUUUCUCAUGUUUCAAUCCUAAGAUGUAAGUUACAGUUUAAUUUCCUGCUAAAUCUUGAGAUAUAUGGUAUUGAUACUUUAGGUUAUUGUACCGUACAGUAUUAGUCAUAUCUUGUGCUUACAGCCUCACAUUGUAAAUGUCAGGUCAUGGAGGAUGCCCAAAAGAUUCGGAAGAGCGUGAUAGACUACUUUGAAAAGGCGUCACCUCCUAACCUCUGUGAAGAGGAGAGAAGGAAGAUCCUUCACUUUGUGAUUAUCGGUGAUGGACCUACUGGGGUUGAAUUUGUGGUGGAGUUGCAUGAUUUUCUUGUCGAAGAUCUGGUGAAGCUAUAUCCUGCAAUUGAAGAAUUUGUGAAGAUAACAAUUAUGCAAUCAGGAGAACAUACAAUGAGGGUUGAACGUUCCUGCAGUAAUAACCUUAGUUUUGGGCAAGAUGAUCAAGGAGUAGCGAAACUUUAGCAGUCAUCUUUGGCUUCACCAUCUUCCUCCCCUGAUCAUGCAUCUAUUUUAGAUCAUAUAAUUAUGCUAUAUCAUAUAUAUUGUUUAGUUCAGACUUGUGCAUGUGCGUCCAUUGGCAUUGAUUUAUACAGAGAUAUUGCAUGAUUUGUACAUAAAAGGAGUACAGAUGAUCUAAGAAUAAAUGUUCAAAUAAAGUUAGUAGUGAGAUUUAGGUAAAGGUUACCUGCACUGUUCUGUUUUAUGUAGAUUCUAAGCUGCAAAAUCAUACAUGGCCCUGUUAGUAGU